ACUAGUCCAGUGGGGGAAGGGUGGCUCUCCUUUUAAAGUGGCUUCCUCCUCCCAAGUUAAGCGAGGUGGAAUAAUUCUGAGGCUCACACGGUCGUCGUCCGACUACAAUUGGGCCAACUGGGCCAAUUGCGUCUUUGCCAACGGGUAAUAGUGGAGGAUGUCCUCAUCAUUCCCACCUUCUUAAAAUGGGCCCUACCUUUGAUACCAGAUGAUACACCCAGCCCAGGUGGGGUUGGCCGAGGCCCAACAAAUUAGGGUUGCCCGGAGCCCAACAGUUCAUUAAGCACACCCAACUCAGGGAAAGGCCCAAUCGCCCCAAAAGACUAGUCCAAUGGGGGAAGGGUGGCUCUCCCUUUUAAAGUGGCUUCCUCCUCCCAAGUUAAGUGAGGUGGGAUAAUUCUGAGGCUCACACGGUCGUCGUCCGACUACAAUUGGGCCAACUGGGCCAAUUGCGUCUUUGCCAACGGGUAAUAGUGGAGGAUGUCCUCAUCAUCACGCCUUAGAGGCUGCAACACACUUUGGAAUAACACGUUAGUCCCUUAGAUCUAGUCUGAUAAAGCCACUACCCAGGAUCAAAUACCACUAACUCACUCGAUGGUGAGUCACAGAGAAAAUACAAUAAAGCAGGAAACCUCAAAUUAAAGUACUGGGGUUAUUACAUGAAUUGGAGUUUUCAAGUAAACUGAAACAAGUUCAUAAUUUAAAUUGCAACGAAUAGUCGAUAACGUCGAAUGAUGAGGAAUAGGGCUAGGCCUAGCCCACUACUCCUCCUGCUCCUCCCUUCCUGGAGUAGCAUCCCACUCGACCAUCCAACCCGGUGGCAGGGUGGUAGGCCAAGUCACACCAUCAACCAUAUCCUGAAGCGUACUUACAAAAAUUAUGCCACAAGCAAGGCUAAGUAUACUAAUACUUAGCUAGACUUACCCGAUGUGAGGAAUCUACUCCUCUACCUCUAGACCAUGCAGUUGUUUGGCUGAGGGGUUUGGUUUGUCAAAAGCACUAGCUGAGUCUAAAAUCAAUUUUAGCUUUUCCAAUUCUAGUAUCAUUAAUUUUAGCUAAGUUUGCUCCUUCUAAAGCAUACACGGUAGCAAUCAUUUAGUACAAUAAACAUGUUGUCUCAAAUCAACCUUAUUUCACUUUUUACUCAAUGCAGUACAAGGGGUCAAGUAGUCUCAUUAGCUGCGAGAAGCAGACGAUUUGAAUCGAAUUUUUAAACCUUGCAAGGUAAACCUAAACACACGACAUGUAGGGGCACUCCAUCCCCACACAUAUCAACCGUCCCCAUCAAUUCCCCGUUCGCGGCCAGGGCUCACCGCCUUGGCAUACAAUGCUCCACUGACCCUGGCUGCCACCGUGCAGUGACCGCACUUGUACCCACCAUAGCUAGCAUGGGAGACCCAGUCUCAGGACAAGUGAGGGGGAAAGUCCGUGCCCGGCUUCACUCAGGUACUAGGUUUACUGGUUACCAUAUUUCCUGACAUGUGUUUAGUACGUUCAAACGCUUGACUCAGGUAUCCACACAUUAAUCCUUAGUUCCUUUUUCCCGUCUCAUGGACAAGGCAUCCACCCUGGAUCCAAGUCCAUAGAUCAUCAUAGAUCCCGUUAUCAAGAUGAAUACAAUCAAUUCCUGACCUCGCACGAGUGCUAGAAAAAUCACUCGACUUCUACCGAGAUCCUAAUUAGCAAAGCAGCUACUCGACCUAGCAUACUAGUAUCCAUCUCAAAAAGGAAUCCUGAGUUCAUGCAACUAAGGGUUUCAAGCAACUCCUACACUUAAGUGCACAUCACAAGCCUACAAACAUUAAGUGUAGUAAAGUAGCAUAUAUAAACUGGUUAUGCAUAAAACCGGGGUUUGCCUUCAAAUGCUGGGGCUGCGAGGAGAUCUUCUGUGGCAGGCUCGGGAGCUGGCUCCUGAUCUUCCUCGUGGAUAGCUCCUUGCUCGGGAAUGAGCACGUACUCUCCGUCAGCGAGGUUGCAAUCUAAUGAAUGCAAUGAGUAAGAUAUAUGUAUGGCAUGAUAUGCAAAUUAGCUAUGGCGGAACCACCCGAAUUAUUCCAGCUUAAGUGCCUAAGUCACGCCUCAGGGGCCGUAACACACUUAAAUCGGAAUAACCCGUCAGUCCCUCAGAUCUAGUCUGAUAGAGCCACUUAACCAGGAUCAAAUUCCACAAUCUCACUCAAAGGUGAGUCACAGAAGAAAUACAAUAAAACAGGAAACCUCAAAUUAAGUGCUGAAUUAUUACAUAGAUCGGAGUUUUUGAGUAGCAAAUAAGAGUUCACGAAAUAAAAUGCAGCGUAUAAUCGAUGUCGUCGGUAUCGAGGAAAUGGGCAAGGCCUAGCCCACUACUCCUCGUGCUCCUCUCCUGCCGGAGCAGCAUCCCACUCGACCGUCCAACCCGGUGGCAGGGUAGUAGGCCAAGUCACACCAUCAACCAUUUUCUGAAUGGUACCUGCAAAAAUUAUGCCACAAGCAAGGCUGAGUAUACUAAUACUCAGCUAGACUUACCCGGUGUGAGGAGUCUACUCCUCUACCUCUAGACAAUGCAGCUGUUUGGCUGAGGGGGUUUGGUUUGCCAAAAGCACUAGCUGUUUCUAAAAUCAAUUUUUAGCUUUUCAAUUUCUAUCAUCAUUAACUUAGCUAGAUUUGCUCCUUCUAAGCAUACAUGGUGACAAUCAUUUAGUUCAAUCAACAAGUUAUCUCAUGUAACCUCAUUUCACUUCUUACUCAAUGCAGUACAAGGGGUCAAGCAGUCUCAUUAGCUGUGAGAAGCAGACGAUUCAAAUCGAGUUUUAACCUUGCAAGGUAAACUUAAACACACUGCAUGUCAGGGUACUCUGACCCCACACAUGACAACCGUCCCCAUCGAUUCCCCGUUCGCGUCCAGGCCUCACCGCCUUGGCAUACAAUGCUCCACUGACCCCGGUUGCCGCGUGCAGUGACCGCACUUGUACCCACCAUAGCUAGCAUGGGAGACCCAGUCUCAGGUCGCAUGAGGGUUAAAGUCUGCGCCCGGCUUCACUCAGGUACUCGGUUUACCGGUUACCAUUUUUCCCGGCAUGUGCUUAGUACGUUCAACGCUUGACUCAGGUAUCCACACAUUAAUCCUUAAUUCCUUUUUCCCGUCUCAUGGACAAGGCAUCCUCCCUGGAUCCAAGUCCAUAAACUAACAUAGAUCCCGUUAUCAAGAUGAAUACAAUCAAUUCCUGACCUCGCGCGAGCGCUAGAAAAAUCACUCGACUUCUACCGAGAUCCUGAUUAGCAAGCAGCUACUCGACCUAGCAUACUAGUAUUCAUCUCAAAAAGGAAUCCUAAGUUCAUGCAACUAGAGGUUUCAAGCAACUCCUACACUUAAGUGCACAUUACAAUCCUACAAGCAUUAAGUGUAGUAAAGUAGCAUAUAAUAAUACGGUUAUGCAUAUAAAUCGGGGCUUGCCUUCAAUAGCUGGGGCUGCAGGGAGAUCCUCGAUAGCAGCCUCGGAAGCUUGCUCCUGGUCCUCCUCUUGGACAGAUCCUUGCUCGGGGAUGAGCACGUACUCUCCGUCGGCAAGAUUACAAUCUAAUGAAUGCAGUGCGUAAGAUACAUGCAUGAUAUGAUAUGUGCUUUAGAAAUUACAACUUUUGAUGGUGUAUGAUCUACUUGAGUUAGAUAAAGUUAAACCUUACUUAUGUAAGACCUUUGGGUGGUAUACUUGGUAAAUUGGGUCAAACUUAGCUAAGGUAAGUGGUAGGUUUAUUUUCUUUGGGGUUCCAUUGAAUUCUUUUUAAAGCCUUAGUGAGUUUGACAAGAAUUCAAGUUGGACUUAUUGGAGUGAGAUUUAUUUCUCCCUUCUUUUUCUUUAUUCUCUUGAAGUUUUUGGAGUGGGUUUGAACUACAAGUUAUCUUAGUAAAUUUCCAAAACUUCUGUAAAAAUUACAGUGGCUUAUUACUGGUGUAAAAUUAUCUGUCUCAAAAUUUGGGGUUCAAAAAGUGAAUAGUUUUCUCUGGACAAAAAUACCAAAUUUUAGGGCAGAAGGGGUGAUUUGAACUACAACCAUCAAUUAAUAGUAGGUAAUUCUCUAAGACUUAUUUUUGCUGGCAUUUAGAUGCUAUAACAUGACCUGGCACAGAAUUCUAGUCAUUAAUUCUUAUUAGUUAUUUUACUGGGAUUUUCUAAGGUUCUUGGCCCAAGGGGUGCUUUCUACUACCACUAUAUUUGAAAAAUAUAAAACAACAAACUUCUGAUUUUUCUUAGCUUCUAUUUUGUGCAAGAGCAAUCAUUCUGAAGUUUGGCAUCUUUUUGCUUAAGGGAAGGGGUGGUAUGCAUUAAUUGGAUUAAAUGGCCUUUCUUAUAAAAUAUUAGCAAUAGGUAUUAUUUUGCAUCUUUUUAAUGGGUUUGCAUUUUUCUCUGGUGGCCUAUCUCAUUAUUGACCUAGCAAAAUUUUAUUUGCCCAUUAUUGCAUUAUUAUGGGUUAUUCAUGAUUUAUUUAGAAAAUGACUCGUUAUCAUAUUACACUUAUUUACCCUACUUAAAAUGAUGGGCUAGGGUGUUCAUUAUUUUUGCAGUAGGGUUUUGUUGGUUAUAAGUCCACUAGAUUUUUAUUAUCAAUUUUGGGUCUGGUUUUGUAAUUCUACUAAUUGAUUUCUAGUUGGAAUAAUGCUAAAUAACACAUUCCACUUUAAAACUGAUCUGGCCUAGAGGUUCCUUUAUUUUUCUUAGGUUCUCUGUUACUUAAGUAAACUAGGAAAAAUAUAUUCACUCACUGUUCAUUAAUUUCUAAUGCCUUUCUGAUUUUCCUAAGUUUUGGGCAGAAAUGACUUUUAAUGGAUAUCUACACUAUAUUCUUCAAUACUGGGGUUCUUACUAUUUUUAAACAGUGCUUAAAUGAGGGUUGAACAUCUACAAAUUUUCUUAGGUUCAGCACAGAAGGAAAACUAAUUUCCCUUAAUUAAACAAGGUUUGGUCAGUUUCUGUUUUUAAUUUUAAACUCUAAAAAUUAGAACAAAAGCAUAAGGUUCAUUAUUUUUAAAUGAUAGCUCAUAUUAUUCAGGGUCUAGCAAAAUUAGUUUGACAACUUUUGCUUAAGAAUUCAUCAAGUUAUGGAUUUUCUAAGUUCUUUGUUUAUUAAAAAUAUUAAACAGAAUUGAUUAAAUGGAAACUACUUUGCAACGGGGUCCCUGGCGGGUGUUUUAAGUUUUCCUCACAGAUGAGUCCCUGGGCUACUAUUCAAAUGAGUCACUGACAUUGCAGAAAACCCCCUAGGUUCUUCUAAUCCUAACCCGAGGUCCUUUCCCCAAUUUGAACAGUGCCCGCGGUGGAAGAAAGGGCGGAGGGGCUUACCAGCGGCGAGAUUGCUCCGGUGAGGUGGUCGAGGACAUAGGGGAGGUCUCGGAGAUCACAACGAUGUGCGGGUCGCCGUCGGGGGUGGUCGGAGUUGGCCGGUCCGCGUGCGCAGGCGGGGGAGCUCGUCGACGGCGAGGAGUCCGACCUAUCCAGGGCAAAAUUGACCAAUCAAACGGGUCAGAGAGCUUCACCAGGGAUCAAGGAAGGUGUGCGCGCGAGGAAUUGAAGAAUGGCUCACCGGAGAGCUCGGUCCACGCGUGCAGGCGGGCGACCGAAGUCCGGCGAGGGUGAUCUCGGGCUUCCGGUGAAGUUCUGCCGGGUUCGAGGGCUUGGAGAGCUUCACGGGCCUAUGGUGGAGCUAACCGAAGCACUGGCGCGACUUGAGGGCGACUGGAGUGGGCUGGCCACGGUGGCCGAAGCUCUGGCGGCAAUGGCGGGCGGAAAAGAGCUCGCCGGAGCUAAGGGGGGUGGCUGGCCGGUGAUGGUGAGCGCGGGGAGGAGUGAGGCACGCCCGGGGAGGCUUUAUAGGCGCGGGCGAGCACAGCCGAGGACGGGGCUCUGACAAGCGCUCGGGGUGUGCGCGGCGAACGCCAGUGCGCGCUCUGGCGCCUGGCACAGCGUCGAGCAUGAGGCAGCGCAGAGAGAGGUCGAGUUCAAGCGCGGAUUGGCUCCAAAUCUUUGAGAUUUUGGCCAUAAUCCCGUUGAGAGAUCUCUUCCUCUCAGGUCCCCUUGUCAUUUAUGUGUGGAGGCUAGCAGGUUUGGUUGACUGGAUUAGGAGAUAGAGAGGGAAGAAAUCUGGUUUGUCUCACUGCCGCACAUAGGGAGAAGAUCUCUGGUUUGACGUGUCCGAGGCACGCGUCCCAAUGCCAUCUUCUGGCAGGCGACAGAGGGGUUAGUUAGGCACGUUUUUGUUAAUGGGGUCAUUAGGAUUUGAGUUAGGGAUCAAGGUGAACACGCUUGAUCUUUGGCUCAAGGUCUAAAAUUCAGAAUUCUGAAAUUCAGAAUUUCCUAUUGAGUCCCCACAUGAGAAGCUUGCUUGGGGUUUUAUUUGAAUUAUUUUGGCCAAGCUUCUUCAAUAUUUAUUGUUGCUUAUGAAAUAUACUUCAAUGUUUAUAAUUGGCCCAAGCCAUGAUUCUAAAUUUUUCAUACCAUUUUCCCCAUUCUCUUGAAUUUUGCUCAUAGGGCUCAAUUAGGGUUUUUGUUGGGGUUGCACAUUUUGCCUUUUUGAAAAACCCAUUUGUUUUGAACAUGAUACUUUUAAGUAUAGGCUUGGUGGAUCCUUUAUUCUUAAGUCAAUUUGAUGUUCAUACUUAAAUUUGGUUCACAUAAGAUGAUGGUUCAUGGGUUAGCACUUUGAGAGAAACCCUAGGUGACACUGGGGUGUCACAGCCUUCCCCCCUUAAAGGAAUCUCGUCCCGAGAUUCGGGCCAGAGUCCUCCCGGGGUGAAGCGAAGGGUGAGACUUAUAGGAAGUGGGUGAUUAUUGUUAUUAUUAGAGCAAACUGCUCUUCGAAUGUCAUUCUCUUUGCAACUUCAGAAGGAAGUCCUUCUUAAAUUUGUUUCAUGAUUACUUUAUCCUGAAUUAAGAUUAUAUCUUUGGAAUUUAGAUUCGAAGGGCAGGAGGAGGGGUUGGGUGUGAUUACGUACCAGUUUCCUUAGGUAGGCAAUCGGGGAAGUUGGAUCUCAAGAAUUCCUCGGUUUCCCAAGUAGCUUCUUCCUCUGAGUGAUUACUCCACUGGACCUUGUACAUCUUGAUCGAUUUAGCCCGAGUUGGUCUUUCCUUGCAAUCCAGAAUCUUGGAAGGGUACUCUUGGUACGAUAGAUCUGGUUCUAUCUCCAAUUCUGGCUCUGCUAUGAUCUCGGUCGGCAAUCGAACACAGUUCUUCAGCUGAGAUACAUGGAACACACUAUGAAUGGUGGACAUUUUUGAAGGUAACUUUAACUUAUAUGCCACGGGUCCACAUGCUUCGAUGAUCUCAUAAGGUCCAAUGUAACGAGGGGCUAGCUUGCCUUUAAUUCCAAACCUCUGCACUCCCUUGGUGGGUGAUACCUUGAGGUACACGAAAUCUCCCACCUUGAACUGGAGAGGUUUCCUUCUUCUAUCAUGGUAACUCUUCUGCCUGGCCUGAGCAGCUUCUAGAUUCUUCCUGAUUAGUUUGACCUUCCUUUCGGCUUCAGUCACUAAGUCAGGUCCAAAAACUCCUCUCUCUCCAGGUUGAGACCAAUUGAGUGGUGUCCUGCACCUUCUUCCAUAGAGAGCUUCGAAGGGUGCCAUCUUUAGGCUGGAUUGGUAACUGUUGUUAUAAGCAAACUCUGCCAAGGAGAGGUGCUUAUCCCAGUUCUUGCCACAAUUGAUCGCACAAGCUCUCAGCAUAUCUUCUAGAAUUUGGUUUACUCUUUCCGUCUGACCAUCAGUCUGUAGGUGGUAAGCUGAACUUCUGAUUAGCUUAGUUCCCAAAGACUCCUGCAGUUGUUCCCAAAAUCUGGCAACAAAUUGGGCUCCUCGGUCAGAAACAAUGGUCCGAGGUAAUCCGUGCAAACACACGAUCCGGUCAAUAUACAAUUCUGCAUACUUCUGAGCCUUAUUAGUGGUGUGCACAGGAAGAAAAUGUGCCACUUUCGUCAGUCGGUCCACAAUAACCCAAAUCGAAUCAUGAUGACGAGAGGUGUUGGGUAGACCCACAAUGAAAUCCAUACUGAUGUCAUCCCAUUUCCAUGAAGGUAUAGAUAGGGGUUGCAAAGCUCCAGCUGAUUUCAAGUGGCUUGCCUUUACCCUCUGACAGGUGUCACAUUCCGAUACGUAAUGGGCUAUCUCCCUCUUCAUUCUGGUCCACCAAUACAAAGGUUUCAGAUCAUGGUACAUUUUGGUGCUUCUCGGAUGCAUAGAGAAUUUGGAGAGAUGAGCCUCAUCCAAGAUUUUCCUCUUGAGGUCCUAGUUUUUAGGAAUCACUAAUCUGCUUUUGAACCAUAACACACAUUUUUCAUCUUGGCAGAAACAACUAUACUUCUCAAUCUUCUGAUGGAGAUUCUUCUUGAUAAUCUACACUCCCUUGUCACUGAGCUGGGCCAUGAUGAUCUGGUCUUGCAAAGCUGGCUCAACAGAAAUGUGAGACAACGAACCAGAAGGAAUCACUUCUAUUUGCAUCUUGCUCAACUCAUCACACAAGGUGUUAAUGCGAGAAUCCAUCAGAAUACAAUUGCAUUGCAACUUCCGACUCAAGGCAUCUGCUACCACAUUGGCCUUUCCUGGGUGAUAAUGUACCUCCAGGUCAUAAUCCUUGAUCAGCUCUAGCCAUCUUCUCUGCCUCAUGUUGAGAUCAGCCUGAGUAAAGAUGUACUUAAGGCUCUUAUGAUCAGUGAAGAUGUUGCAGUGGGUUCCCAUUAAAUAGUGCCUCCACAUUUUUAAUGCAUGAACCACUGCUGCCAACUCGAAGUCAUGAGUGGGAUAAUUUUGCUCGUGAGGCCUGAGUGCUCUUGAGGCAUAAGCAAUGACUCGAUUGUCUUGCAUUAAGACACAACCUAGUCCAGUGCCAGAGGCAUCACAAUAUACAUCAAAAGGCUUGCUGUUGUCGGGUUGCGCUAACACUGGUGCUAUGGUCAGAUGCUGCCUUAAUGCAUGGAAGGCAUCUUCGCACUUCUGACUCCAAACAAACUUGGCUUCUUUCUUCAGCAACUCAGUUAUAGGCUUCGCAAUUCGAGAGAAAUCUGGAAUAAAUCUUUGGUAAUAACCAGCUAAUCCCAGAAAACUCCGAAUUUGACGGACAGUCGUUGGUGGCUUCCAGUUCAUCACCUCUUGCACUUUAUCAGGAUCAACAGCUAUUCCUGCCUGAGAGAUAGUGUGACCCAAGAAUUUGAUUUCCUUCAGCCAAAAAUCACACUUGGACAACUUGCCAUAAAGGUGGUGCUCUCGCAGACGUUGAAGCACUACAUGCAAAUGCCCGGCAUGUUCUUCUUCGUUCCUUGAGUACACCAAGAUAUCAUCGAUGAAAACCACUAUGAAUUUGUCCAAUUCAGGCAUGAAAACAGAAUUCAUCAGAUACAUGAAAUAUGCUGGUGCAUUUGUCAGCCCGAAUGACAUCACCAAAAAUUCAUAUAGCCCGUAUCUGGUUGAGAAUGUCGUCUUCGGAAUAUCGCUUGCUCGUAUCUUGAUCUGAUGGUAGCCAGAGCGAAGGUCUAUUUUGGAAAACACCUUGGCCCCGACCAACUGGUCAAAAAGAACAUCAAUACGAGGCAAAGGAUACUUGUUCUUGAUAGUUACCGCAUUAAGAGGGCGGUAAUCUAUACACAGCCUCAAGCUUUCAUUCUUCUUCUUCACAAAUAGUGCUGGACAUCCCCAAGGCGAAGUACUUGGGCGAAUAAAUCCCUUAUCCAGUAACUCUUGCAAUUGCUUCUUCAAUUCUGCCAACUCAGCGGGUGGCAUUCGGUAGGGCCUCUUGGAAAUUGGUGUCGUUCCCGGUUGCAACUCGAUGGCAAAUUCAAUAUCCCGGUCCGGUGGCAUUCCUGGCAAUUCAUCAGGAAAGACAUCUGCAUAUUCGCAGACCACUGGGAUAUUUUUAAGAGGUAACUCCGUCAUAGAGAAAGCACAUGACUAAGUAGAACCCUGACUGGGCAGAAUUAAGGUGAAGUUCCCACAGAACGGAGAAUUAACUUCCACGGUACGGCUGGCUACAUCAAGCACAACUUGGUGCAAGGUCAUCCAAUUAGCUCCCAGAAUAAUGUCCACAUUUUCCAAACCCAACACAAGAAGAGUGGUUUUGACAAUGUGGCUCCCUAGUUGAAUAGGCACACUUUGGUUUAAUUGAUUAGUCGAAAUUUUACCCCCAGGUGUGACUAUCAUGAAUGACCCUUUUGAGUGAGAGAAUGGCAGUUCACAUUUAGCACUGAACUUCUGGCUAAUGAAACUAUGAGAUGCACCAAAAUCAAAUAGAAUUAAAGCAGGUUGAUUAUAAACUGAAAAGAUAUCGGUCAUGAUAGGAGCUCCCUCAGGUACUUCCUCCAGAGUAGUGAAGUUGAGCUUCCCUUGCCUGACUUGUACCUUAUGCUUUCUUCCCUUGUCUUGAUUUGGUGCUGGCAUCUGCCUCUGCUGGUUCCUAGGACAAUUCUUGGCAUUGUGGCCCACAUUGCCACAAGUGAAACACUUGUUCCCAUUGCCCUGGCGGAACUGCUGCUGCUGCGGAGGCUGAUUGUUCCUUGGAGCGGGAGCUGGAAAGCGGCUGGGUGCCGGCUGCUGCUGCUGAGGUGGCCUGAUCACCCAUCUGCCUGCCUGCUGCUGGAAACCCCUGCUCUGAUUGUGAGAAACAAUCCGGAACCUCUGGGCCUAAGCGGAUGGUGCUGCCAUUGGUGCCUUUCUCUUCUUCUCUGCCCGGUGAGCUACAAUGCAGUCCUCUUGGGAGAUGGCUAUGUUGACCAACUCAUUGAAGCUAUCAGCCCGGACAGUGUUGAGUCGUUCCCGCAGCUUGGUAUUAAGACCCCUGCGGAAGCAGUCUCUCUUCUUUUCAUCAGAAUCAGCAUGGUACCCUGCAUACUGGCACAAGUCGUUGAAGGCUUGCGCAUAUUGCAGUACCGUGCGGGUUCCUUGAUUAAGGGCCAGAAAUUCAUUCAGCUUCCGAUCAAGAAUGCCAGCUGGGAUGUGGUGUCCUCUGAAGGCAGUCUUGAAUUCCUCCCAAGACACUUCACGAUCAGCGGGGAGCAUAGCACGGAAGUGGUCCCACCAAGUCCGAGCAGAUCCGCGAAGCUGCUACGCGGCGAAGCGAGUCUUGGUAGCAUCAGGGCAGUCUCUCGUAAGGAGGGGAAACUUGGACUCGACGACGCGAAGCCACACGUCGGCGUCCAACGGAUCCUCUGCCUUGGUGAACAAGGGUGGCUGCGUGCUCAGAAACUCCUGGUAAGUUGCCAUUGUCGGAGGUCGUUGAUGCUGGCCUCCACCAUGCUGCUGAGGGUGGGGCUGGCGCUGCAAGAGCUGUCGUAGAAUCUCAUUCUGCUGGGCCAUCAGCUCCUGCACUGUGGGAGCUGGAGGAGGUGGCGGGGGAACCUGCUCGUUAUGCCCGCGACGCUGCCUAGCUGCCAUCUGAAAACAGAGAUUGCCGCCAUUGUUAUCCCAACUCACAGUUUCGAACGACAAGAUAUCAUCUCAUAUGGAAGGAAAAAUGCCAUAGUCAUAAUAUUAGGUUCGAAAUGAAGAUAACAUAAUGACAAACAUCCCACAGAUUUCAAAAGUUCACAGGGUUACAUCAAUCAGGGGAAGGUACCUGUAAGCCUAGUCCAAAAUCUGACAUUAACUAAGCUCGCAUAGGUUUCUAUUCGCCUAAAAGUGUCGAAGUGACUGUUUAACCCUGAGCGGUGGAAGCGACACUAGAUACGGGUGAAGGAGGCAUCGCGGAGGUAGUCCCAUUGGCACCAGGGGCUGGUCCUAGCUCCUCAGGAGCCUCUUCUCCCUCGCUUCCGGCUUCAUUGGCCUCCAUCUCCAAGUGGUGCAUGUCCAGGUGGUCAUUCGCUUCUUCGAGUUCCCUCUGCACAUCGUGAAGCUGGUUCUCCAAGACAUCAAUGGUGUUGUCUUGGAUCUCCACCUGCUGCUCCAAGGUGGUAAUGCGCUGGCUCAGCCUUUCCACCUGCAGAUCCUUCUCUACCAACUCGGUGGAUAAAUCGACCACAAAAUCUUCCUGACUGUCGAGAGUGAGCUUGGCGGUUUGAGCGAUGUUAGCAAGGUGUGCCAUAGCGUCGCUCUGAAGGGCCUGAAGGCGGUACAUCGCACUCAUGCACUGAACGGUGACCCUCCCAACCAAGUCAGGAUAUAUUGCCCAAACAUCCUUCACAUGGCUCACGCGAUUACACCACAUGGGAUCAUCUCUCUUCUCAGCAGGGAAGAGUCCCAAGGGGUGCAUCACCAUCUCCAGGGGAUGGUAGCCACAAAAAGUCGUCAGAGUCUUCAUGGCUGCUGCUUCGAUGGUGUCGUCCGUCCUGAGUCCAAUCGUCUCAGAAUCAAGAGAACUCCAACCCGGCUGAAGGGGAUGAGCCUCCAAAGUCAGCCAGACCCAACAACAAGGUACCCGAUGCUCCUCAUACAACUGCACUGUGUACAAAGGGGCGUAGGGUAACCGGCGGAGUUAAGCACUUCCCACAAGAUGGAAGGAAAGCCAUCGCGGGAAAGGAAGUCAGAACUGAAACGAGUGUCUCCUCCACUAGCGGGGGUGGGUGAAUUCAUCUGCGGAAGGGAAUCAAAGGUAAAGAUUAUGGUGGAAGGAAAAAAGAGAAAGAGGGCCCGAAUGGUUUUAAAGGAAGUGGGUUAGCUCAAGUUUUAAUUCCCUUUUGUGUUUAUAAUGCAUGCAUGCUAAAAGGUAACGCCUCCUCUCCAAACAAUAGGGUGCUCUUAGGGCAUCCAAAAAAGAAGUCUAAGUACUGGCCCACGGGGCCUGCUCAAUUAGCCACCUAUUUCUCCCUCUAUACCUAAAGCCUUUUGUCCUAGGUCUAGCGGUCUAGUCCUGGCGAUCCAUAGCAGUUUCUAGGCAAGUUUUAGAUUUUGAAAAUUGGUAUUCAUGGUUUAUUGUCCUUCUCUGUGGUGGAAUUUGCUCCGAUACCAGCUGUGGCGGAACCACCCGAAUUAUUCCAGCUUAAGUGCCUAAGUCACGCCUCAGGGGCCGUAACACACUUAAAUCGGAAUAACCCGUCAGUCCCUCAGAUCUAGUCUGAUAGAGCCACUUAACCAGGAUCAAAUUCCACAAUCUCACUCGAAGGUGAGUCACAGAAGAAAUACAAUAAAACAGGAAACCUCAAAUUAAGUGCUGAAUUAUUAUAUAGAUAUGAGUUUUUGAGUAGCAAAUAAGAGUUCACGAAAUAAAAUGCAGCGGAUAAUCGAUGUCGUCGGUGUCGAGGAAAUGGGCAAGGCCUAGCCCAUUACUCCUCGUGCUCCUCUCCUGCCGGAGCAGCAUCCCACUCGACCGUCCAACCCGGUGGCAGGGUGGUAGGCCAAGUCACACCAUCAACCAUUUCCUGAAUGGUACCUGCAAAAAUUAUGCCACAACCAAGGCUGAGUAUACUAAUAUUCAGCUAGACUUACCCAGUGUGAGGAGUCUACUCCUCUACCCCUAGACUAUGCAGCUGUUUGGCUGAGGGGGUUUGGUUUGCCAAAAGCACUAGCUGUUUCUAAAAUCAAUUUUUAGCUUUUCAAUUUCUAUCAUCAUUAACUUAGCUAGAUUUGCUCCUUCUAAGCAUACAUGGUGACAAGCAUUUAGUUCAAUCAACAAGUUAUCUCAUGUAACCUCAUUUCACUUCUUACUCGAUGCAGUACAAGGGGUCAAGCAGUCUCAUUAGCUGCGAGAAGCAGACGAUUCGAAUCGAGUUUUAACCUUGCAAGGUAAACCUAAACACACGGCAUGUCAGGGUACUCCGACCCCACACAUGACAACCGUCCCCAUCGAUUCCCCGUUCGCGUCCAGGCCUCACCGCCUUAGCAUACAAUGCUCCACUGACCCCGGCUGCCGCCGUGCAGUGACCGCACUUGUACCCACCAUAGCUAGCAUGGGAGACCCAGUCUCAGGUCGCAUGAGGGAUAAAGUCUGCGCCCGGCUUCACUCAGGUACUAGGUUUACCGGUUACCAUUUUUCCCGGCAUGUGCUUAGUACGUUCAACGCUUGACUCUGGUAUCCACACAUUAAUCCUUAAUUCCUUUUUCCCGUCUCAUGGACAAGGCAUCCUCCCUGGAUCCAAGUCCAUAGACUAACAUAGAUCCCGUUAUCAAGAUGAAUACAAUCAAUUCCUGACCUCGCGCGAGCGCUUGAAAAAUCACUCGACUUCUACCGAGAUCCUGAUUAGCAAGCAGCUACUCGACCUAGCAUACUAGUAUUCAUCUCAAAAAUGAAUCCUAAGUUCAUGCAACUAGAGGUUUCAAGAAACUCCUACACUUAAGUGCACAUUACAAUCCUACAAGCAUUAAGUGUAGUAAAGUAGCAUAUAAUAAUACGGUUAUGCAUAUAAAUCGGGGCUUGCCUUCAAUAGCUGGGGCUGCAGGGAGAUCCUCGAUAGCAGCCUCGGAAGCUUGCUCCUGGUCCUCCUCUUGGACAGAUCCUUGCUCGGGGAUGAGCACGUACUCUCCGUCGGCAAGAUUACAAUCUAAUGAAUGCAGUGCGUAAGAUACAUGCAUGAUAUGAUAUGUGCUUUAGAAAUUAAAACUUUUGAUGGUGUAUGAUCUACUUGAGUUAGAUAAAGUUAAACCUUACUUAUGUAAGACCUUUGGGUGGUAUACUUGGUAAAUUGGGUCAAACUUAGCUAAGGUAAGUGGUAGGUUUAUUUUCUUUGGGUUCCACUGAAUUCUUUUUAAAGCCUUAGUGAGUUUGACAAGAAUUCAAGUUGGACUUAUUGGAGUGAGAUUUAUUUCUCCCUUCUUUUUCUUUAUUCUCUUGAAGUUUUUGGAGUGGGUUUGAACUACAAGUUAUCUUAGUAAAUUUCCAAGAAUUCUGUAAAAAUUACAGUGGCUUAUUACUGGUGUAAAAUUUUCUGUCUCAAAAUUUGGGGUUCAAAAAGUGAAUAGUUUUCUCUGGACAAAAAUACCAAAUUUUAGGGCAGAAGGGGUGAAUUGAACUACAACUAUCAAUUAAUUGUAGGUAAUUCUCUAAGACUUAUUUUUGCUGGCAUUUAGAUGCUAUAACAUGACUUGGCACAGAAUUCUAGUCAUUAAUUCUUAUUAGUUAUUUUACUGGGAUUUUCUAAGUUUCUUGGCCCAAGGGGUGCUUUCUACUACCACUAUAUUUGAAAAAUAUCAAACAAUAGACUUCUGAUUUUUCUUAGCUUCUAUUUUGUGCAAGAGCAAUCAUUCUGAAGUUUGGCAUCUUUUUGCUUAAGGGAAGGGGUGGUAUGCAUUAAUUGGAUUAAAUGGCCUUUCUUAUAAAAUAUUAGCAAUAUGUAUUAUUUUGCAUCUUUUUAAUGAGUUUGUAUUUUUCUCUGGUGGCCUAUCUUAUUAUUGACCUAGAAAAAUUUUAUUUGCCCAUUAUUGCAUUAUUAUGGGUUAUUCAUGAUUUAUUUAGAAAAUGACUCAUUAUCAUAUUACACUUAUUUACCCUACUUAAAAUGAUGGGCUAGGGUGUUCAUUAUUUUUGCAGUGGGGUUCUUGUGGUUAUAAGUCCACUGGAUUUUUAUUAACAAUUUUGGGUCUGGUUUUGUAAUUCUACUAAUUGAUUUCUAGUUGAAAUAAUGCUAAAUAACACAUUCCACUUUAAAACUGAUCUGGACUAGAGGUCCCUUUAUUUUUCUUAGGUUCUCUGUUACUUAAGUAAACUAUGAAAAAUAAUUUCACUCACUGUUCAUUUAUUUCUAAUGCCUUUCUGAUUUUCCGAAGUUUUGGGCAGAAAUGGCUUUUAAUGGAUAUCUACACUAUAUUCUUCAAUGCUGGGGUUCUUACUAUUUUUAAACAGUGCUUAAAUGAGGGUUGAACAUCUACAAAUUUUCUUAGGUUCAGCACAGAAGCAAAACUAAUUUCCCUUAAUUAAACAAGGUUCGGUCAGUUUCUGUUUUUAAUUUUAAACUCUAAAAUUAGAACAGAAAGCAUAAGGUUCAUUAUUUUUAAAUGAUAACUCAUAUUAUUCAGGGUCUAGCAAAAUUAGUUUGACAACUUUUGUGUAGAAUUCAUCAAGUUAUGGAUUUUCUAAGUUCUCUGUUUAUUAAAAAGAUUAAACAAAAUUGAUUAAAUGGAAAACUACUUUGCAACGGGGUCCCUGGCGGGUGUUUUAAGUUUUCCUCACAGUGAGUCCCUGGGCUACUAUUUAAAUGAGUCACUGACAUUGCAGAAAACCCCCUAGGUCCUUCUAAUCCUAACCCGAGGUCCUUUCCCCAAUUUGAACAGUGCCCGCGGCGGAAGAAAGGGCAAAGGGGCUUACCGGCGGCGAGAUUGCUCCGGUGAGGUGGUCGAGGAUGUAGGGGAGGUCUCGGGGAUCACAACGAUGUGCGGGUCGCCGUCGGGGGUGGUCGGAGUUGGCCGGUCCACGUGCGCAGGCGGGGGAGCUCGUCGGCGGCGAGGAGUCCGACCUAUCCAGGGCGAAAUUGACCAAUCAAAUGGGUCAGAGAGCUUCACCAGGGAUCAAGGAAGGUGUGCGCACGAGGAAUUGAAGAAUGGCUCACCGGAGAGCUCGGUCCACGCGUGCAGGCGGGCGACCGAAGUCCGGCGAGGGUGAUCUCGGGCUUCCGGUGAAGUUCUGCCGGGUUCGAGGGCUUGGAGAGCUUCACGGGCCUAUGGUGGAGCUAACUGAAGCACUGGCGCGACUUGAGGGCGACUGGAGUGGGCUGGCCAUGGUGGCCGAAGCUCUGGCGGCAAUGGCGGGCGGAAAAGAGCUCGCCGGAGCUAAGGAGGGGUGGCUGGCCGGUGAUGGUGAGCGCGGGGAGGAGUGAGGCGCGCCCGGGGAGGUUUUAUAGGCGCGGGCGAGCACGGCCGAGGGCGGGGCUCUGACAAGCGCUCGGGGCGUGCGCGGCGAACACCAGUGCACGCUCUGGCGCCUGACACAGCGUCGAGCACGAGGCAGCGCAGAGAGAGGUCGAGUUCAAGCGCGGAUUGGCUCUAAAUCUUUGAGAUUUUGGCCAUAAUCCCGUUGAGAGAUCUCUUCCUCUCAGGUCCCCUUGUCGUUUUUGUGUGGAGGCUAGCAGGUUUGGUUGACUGGAUUAGGAGAUAGAGAGGGAAGAAAUCUGGUUUGUCUCACUGCCGCACACAGGAAGAAGAUCUCUGGUUUGACGUGUCCGAGGCACGCGUCCCAAUGCCAUCUUCUGGCAGGCGACAGAGGGGUUAGUUAGGCACGUUUUUGUUAAUGGGGUCAUUAGGAUUUGAGUUAGGGAUCAAGGUGAACACGAUUGAUCUUUGGCUCAAGGUCUGAAAUUCAGAAUUCUGAAAUUCAGAAUUUCCUAUUGAGUCCCCACAUGAGAAGCUUGCUUGGGGUUUUAUUUGAAUUAUUUUGGCCAAGCUUCUUCAAUCUUUAUUGUUGCUUAUUAAAUAUACUUCAAUGUUUAUAAUUGGCCCAAGCCAUGAUUCUAAAUUUUUCAUACCCUUUUCCCCAUUCUCUUGAAUUUUGCUCAUAGGGCUCAAUUAGGGUUUUUGUUGGGGUUGCACAUUUUGCCUUUUUGAAAAACCCAUUUGUUUUGAACAUGAUACUUUUAAGUAUAGGCUUGGUGGAUCCUUUAUUCUUAAGUCAAUUUGAUGUUCAUACUUAAAUUUGGUUCACAUAAGAUGAUGGUUCAUGGGUUAGCACUUUGAGAGAAACCCUAGGUGACACUGGGGUGUCACAUUAGCAAUUAUAAUUGGAUGGUGAAUGAUUAAAUUAAUAAGGUAAAGCUUAACCUUACUACUAGAAAUUUUGGUGGUACACUUAGCCAUUUAGGUCAAGUUUGGUUAGGUUAAAUGGUUAGAUUCUUUUAGUGUUCCGUUGAUUUCCUUUUUAUGUUUUAGUGAAAGUUUAUUGUAAUUUCUGGCUGAAUUCAAUAGGGUGAGAUUCAUUAUUCUUCCAAAUUUCUCUCUUCUUUCCCUUUUCUCUUAUGUUUUAAGGUGGGUUUGAACUACAAUCUAGCUUUAUAAAUUUCCACAAAUUCUGCAAAAAAUUACAAUAGCUUCUCACUGGUGUAUAACUCUCUGUCUCAAAAAUUGGAGCUCAAAAAGUUAAGGGUUCUCUUUGUACAAAAUUAUCAAAUCUUAGGGCAGAGGGGGUGCUUUGAACUACAACUCUCCUUUAACAGUGGAUUAUUCCCUAAGGCUUAUUUUUGCUGGCAUUUAGGUGUAAUAACAUGACUUUGUACCAAUAUUUAGCCACUAAUACUUAUUAGUUAUUUUACUAUGAUUUCCUAAAGUUUUUUUGGCCAAAGUGGUGCUUUCUACUACCACUAUACUUGAAAAAUGUCAAACACUAGAUUUCUAAUUUUUCCUAUCUUCUUAUUUGUGCAAGAGCAAUCAUUCUAGAAUUUGGCAACUUUUUGCUUAAGGGAAGAGGGGGUAGAAAUUCUUGGAUUAUAUGGCCUUUUUUCAUGGGGUAGGAGGUAAUGGGUGUUAUCUUAUAUUUUUGAAUAGGUUUUGUAUUUUUCUCUGGUGGUCUACUUCAUCAAUAGUUGGGUAAAAAUUCAUUUGCCUACUGUUGCACAAUUUUAGACUUUCUUAUGAUUUAAUUAGAACAUGGGCCAAAACCAUAUUUGAAUUGUUCAGCUCACUUAUUGUGAGGGGCUGGGGUGUUUAUUAUUUUUGUAGUGGUGUUCUAGUAGUUAGGAGUCUACUGAAUUUUCUCUAUCCUUUUUACAAUGGUCCUUGCAUUUUUAAUCAUGGUUUUCCUUGGUUUCUUAGUGCCUGAUAAAUAUUUAACCCUGGAUUAACUUGGGACUAGGGUUCUCUGUAUUUUUCCUAGGUUCCUCAUCACUUAAGUAUACUAGGAAAAUAUGCUCCUUCUCUGUUUAUUAUUUUCCACUACCUUUCUUAAUUUUCUAAGUUUUGGACAGAUAUAGUUUUUAAUAGCAAAACUUUAGUUAAUCUUGUAUACUAGGGUGCUUAGUAUUUUUUAGCAGUGCCUAAGUUGGGUAUGUACCUCUACAAAUUUUCUUGAGCCUAGCACAGAAGCAUUUCUAUUUUCUUUAUAUUAAUAAGGUUUAGAUAGUUUCCCUAUUUAAUUCAAAACUCUAAAAAUUAACACAAAAAAUGGGGUUCAGUAUUUUUGUUUGAUGGUUCAUAUUAUUUUGAAACCAGCAAAGUUGGUUUGACUAAUUUUGGAUAAAUAUUCUUCAAGUUAUAAAUUUCCUAAGUUCUUUGUUCAUUAAAAAGAAUAAUCGAAAAUAGUUAAAUGGAAACUAACUUUGCAUCGGGUCCCUGGCGAUUGCUUUCAAAUUCCCUUACAGACUAGUCCUCGGGUCACUAUUUAAAUGUGCCACUGACAGUUCAGAAAACCCCCUAGGGUUUUGCUAAACCUAACCCGAGGUCCUUCUCCCAAAUAAACAGUACUCGCGGCGGAGGAAAGGGCGGAGGGGCUUACCGACGGUGAGAUUGCUCCGGUGAGGUGGUCGAGGGCGUAGGGGAGGUCGUGACGGUCACACCGAUGUGCGGAUCGUCUGCGGGGAUAGCGGAGUAGGCCGGUCCACGUGCGCAGGCGGGGGAGCUCGUCGGCGGCGAGGGCUCUGGCCUAUCCUGGGCGGUAGAGUUCAAUUAAAUUGGUCAGUGAGCUUCACUAGGUGCUAGGGAAGGCAUAGGCGCGAGGAAUUGGAGAAUGGCUCACCGGAUAGCUCGGCCUACAUGCGGUGGCGGGCAACAGAAGUCCGAUGACAGUGAUCUUGCUGUUCCGGUGAGGCAGGGCUUUAAUCCUUGCUUGGAGAAGCUUCACGGCUCCCCGGGGAAGCUGUCCAAGGGCUCGAUUGAGGUUGAGGGUUUCUGGAAAUGGCUGGCCACAGUGGCCGGCGCUCGGGUGGCUCGGGCGGGUGGCGCAAAGAGAGUGCGGAGUGAGGUGAGGCAAGUCUGGGGGUGGUCUUAAAGGCGUAGGCGAGCACGACUGAGGGGUGGCUCUGACACGCGCUUGGGGUGUGCGCAGGCGAGCGCCAGUGCGCGCUCUGGCGCCUAGGCACGGCGUCGAGCACGAGGCAGCGCAGAGAGAGGUCAAGUUCAAGCGUAGAUUGGCUCCAAAUCUUUGCGAUUAUUGCCAUGAUUCCGUUGAGAGAUCUCUUCCCCUGACAUUCCUUUGUUGUUUGUGUGUGGAGGCUUAUGGGUUUUGCUGACUGGAGCCAAAGAUAUGGAGUGAUGAAGUUUGGUUUGUCUCACUGCUGAACUCCAAGAGAAAAUCCCAGAUUUGACGUGUCUAGGGCACGAAUCGUGAUGCCAUCUUCACACACAUUGCAGAGGGGUUAGUUUAGAACAAUUUUGUCAAUGGGGACUCAAGGAUUUGAGCUAGGGAUCAAGGUGAACGUGCUCAAGUUCUAGGUGAGGGCUAAAAUUCAGCAAUCUGAAUUUCAGAUUUUCCCUAGAGAGCUACCACUUGGAUGGCAUUUUUGGGGAUUUUAAUCAAUUAUUUUGGCCAAACUUUUAUAACAAUUAUUGUAGCUUAAUUAGUGUAUUUCAACUUUUAUAAUUGGCCUAAGCCAUGAUUCCAUGUUUUUCAUGGUCUUUUUAACAAUUUCUUCCUUUCUACUUAAAUGGUCUAAUUAGGGUUGUUCUAGGGUUUAAACAUUUUCCCAUUUUGAAUGCAUGAUAUGAUUUAGGCAUGAGUCUUUAGGACAAAAGAAUUAGUUGAAUUUUUGCUCUUAAGUUUUUGGUGUCUUUUUCUCAAUUUGAUUCACAUGAAAUAAUGGUUCUUGAGUUAGCACUAAGAAGAACUCUGGGAAUUACUGGGGUGUUACAGCCUUCCCCCCUUAAAGGAAUCUUGUCCCGAGAUUUGGGUCGGAGUCCUUUGGGGUGAAGCGAAGGUUAAGGCUUGCUUGAAUUUGGUGGUUUGUUCAUUAAGGUUCUUCUUAGUAAACUGCUCUUCGAAUGUCAUCUUCUUUGCAACUUCAGAAGGAAGUCCUCUUAGUUUUAGUCUUACAACUAACUCAUUUUUUUGUUAAGGUCAUUUUUCUUAUAUUUAGAUUCAAAGGGCAGGGGGAGGGGUUGGGCAUGGUUACGUACCAAUUCCCUUAGGUAGACAAUCGGGGAAAUUCGAACGUAGAAAUUCCUCAGUCUCCCAAGUAGCCUCUUCCUCUGAGUGAUUACUCCAUUAGAUCUUAUACAUUUUGAUUGAUUUAGCCCGAGUUGAUCUUUCUUUGCAAUCUAGAACCUUGGAAGGAUACUCUUGGUAUGAUAGAUCUGGCUCUAUUUCCACUUCUGGUUCUGUUAUGAUCUCGGUCGGCAAUCGAACAUAUUUCUUCAGUUGGGAUACAUGGAAUACAUUGUGGAUGGCAGACAUUUUUGGAGGUAACUUCAAUUUGUAUGCCAUGGGUCCACAUGCUUCCACGAUCUCAUAAGGUCCAAUGUAGCAAGGGGCUAACUCGCCUUUGAUCCCAAACCUUUGCACUCCUUUGGUGGGUGAUACUUUCAGAUAUACGGAAUCUCCCACUUCAAACUGGAGGGGUUUUCUUCUCUUAUCAUGGUAACUCUUCUGCCUGGCUUGAGCAGCUUCUAGAUUUUUCCUGAUUAGUUUGUCUUUCCUUUCGGCUUCAGUCACUAAGUUAGGUCCAAAAAAUUCUCUUUCUCCAGGCUAAGACCAAUUGAUGGGUGUUUGACACCUUCUUCCAUAUAGGGCUUCAAAAGGUAUCAUCCUUAGGCUGGAUUGAUAACUGUUGUUAUAAGCAAACUCUGCCAAAGAGAGGUACUUAUCCCAGUUCUUGCCGCAAUCAAUCAUACAAGCCCUUAGCAUAUCUUCAAGAAUUUGAUUGACCCUUUCGGUCUGACCAUCAGUCUGUGGGUGGUAAGCUGAACUCCUUAUUAGCUUGGUUCCCAAAGACUCUUGCAAUUGUUCCCAAAAUCUAGCAACAAAUUGGGCUCCUCGGUCAGAGACAAUGGUCCGGGGUAAUCCGUGCAAACACACGAUUCGAUCAAUAUACAGCUCUGCAUACUUCUGAGUCUUAUCGGUGGUGUGCACUGGAAGAAAAUGUGCCACUUUUGUCAAUCGGUCCACGAUGACCCAAAUUGAAUCAUGAUGCCGAGAGGUGUUGGGCAGACCCACAAUAAAAUCCAUGCUGAUGUCAUCCCAUUUCCAUGAAGGUAUUGAUAGGGGCUAUGGCGGAACCGCCCGAAUUAUUCCAGCUUAAGUGCCUAGGUCACGCCCCAGGGGUCGUAACACACUUAAAUCGGAAUAACCCGUCAGUCCCUCAGAUCCAGUCUGAUAAAGCCACUUAACCAGAAUCAAAUUCCACAAUCUCACUCGAAGGUGAGUCACAGAAGAAAUACAAUAAAGCAGGAAACCUCAAAUUGAAGUACUGAAUUAUUACAUAGAUCGGAGUUUUUCAAGUAGCAAUUAAAAGUUCACAAAAUGAAAUGCAGCGGAUAAUCGAUGUCGUCGAUAGCGAGGAAAUGGGCAAGGCCUAGCCCACUACUCCUCAUGCUCCUCUCCUGCCGGAGCAGCAUCCCACUCGACCGUCCAACCCGGUGGCAGGGUGGUAGGCCAAGUCACACCAUACCGUAUCCUGAAGCAUACCUACAAAAAUUAUGCCACAAGCAAGGCUGAGUAUACUAAUACUCAGCUAGACUUACCCGGUGUGAGGAAACUACUCCUCUACCUCUAGACCAUGCAGCUAUUUGGCUGAGGGGUUUGGUUUGCCAAAAGCACUAGCUGAGUCCAAAAUCAAUCUUUUAGCUUUUCAGUUUCUAGUAUUAUUAUCUUAGCUAAGUUUGCUCCUUCUAAGCAUACAUGGUAGCAAGCAUUUAGUGCAAUCAACAAGUUUCUCAUGUAAACCUCAUUUCACUUCUUACUCGAUGUAGUACAAGGGGUCAAACAGUCUCAUUAGCUGCGAGAAGCAGACGAUUCGAAUUGAGUUUUAACCUUGCAAGGUAAACCUAAACACACGACAUGUAGGAGCACUCCGUCCCCACACAUGUCAACCGUCCCCAUCGAUUCCCCGUUCGCGUCCAGGCCUCACCGCCUUGGCAUACAAUGCUCCACUGACCCCGGCUGCCGCCAUGCAGUGACCGCACUUGUACCCACCAUAGCUAGCAUGGGAGACCCAGUCUCAGGUCGCGUGAGGGAUAAAGUCUGCGCCCGGCUUCACUCAGGUACUAGGUUUAUCGGUUACCAUAUUUCCUGAAAUGUGCUUAGUACGUUCAAAAGCUUGACUCAGGUAUCCACACAUUAAUCCUUAAUUCCUUUUUCCCGUCUCAUGGACAAGGCAUCCUCCCUGGAUCCAAGUCCAUAGACUAACAUAGAUCCCGUUAUCAAGAUGAACACAAUCAAUUCCUAACCUCGCACGAGUGCUAGAAAAAUCACUCGACUUCUAUCGAGAUCCUGAUUAGCAUAGCAGCUACUCGACCUAGCAUACUAGUAUUCAUCUAAAAAGGAAUCCUAAGUUCAUGCAACUAAGGUUUCAAGCAACUCCUACACUUAAGUGCACAUUGCAAUCCUACAAACAUUAAGUGUAGUAAAGUAGCAUAUAAUAACACGGUUAUGCAUAAAACCGGGGCUUGCCUUCAAUAGCUGGGGCUGCGGGGAGAUCCUCGAUGGCAGCCUCGGGAGCUUGCUCCUGGUCUUCCUCUUGGACAAUUCCUUGCUCGGGGAUGAGCACAUACUCUCCGUCAGCGAGAUUGCAAUCUAAUGAAUGCAAUGAGUAAGAUAUAUGCAUGGCAUGAUAUGUAAUUUAGCAAUUUAAACCUUGAUGUUGACUAAUCUACUUGAAUCAGGUAGAGUUAACUCUUGCUACUAAGGAUCUUGGUGGUAUAUUUAGUAAUUUAGAUCACACUCAGUUAAAUAAAGUGGUAAGUCCAAUUUGGUGUUCCACUGAAUUCUUUUUAAAGCCUUAGUGAGAAUUUGAUAAGAUUUCUAGUUGAACUUAUUGGGGCGGGGUUUAUCUUUUAUUUCUUUCCCUCUAUUUCUUUUAUGUUUUUAGAGUGGGUUUGAACUACAAGUUGUCUCAAUAAAUUUCCAAAAAUUCUGCAAACAUUACAGUGGCUUCUUAUUGGUGUAUAAUUCUCUACCCUAAAAUUUGGAGCUUAAAAAGUAAGUGGUUCUUUCUGUAUAGAAUUAUCAAAUGCUAGAGCAGAAGGGGUGGUUUGAACUACAACUACCAUUUAACAGAAGGUUAUUUCUUAAGACAUAUUUUUGCUGGCAUCUAGAUGUUAUAACAUGACUUUGCACAAAGUUUUAGCCAUUAAUACUUAUUAGUUAUUUUACCAUAAUUUUCUAAAAUUUCUAGCCAAUGGGGUGCUUUCUACUACCACUAUAUUUGAAAAAUAUCAAACAACAGAUUUCUGAUUUUUCCUAGCUUCUUCUUUGCGCAAGAACAAUCAUUCUGAAGUUUGGCAUCUUUUUGCUUAAGGGAGGGGGUGGUAGGAAUUAUUUGAAUUAAAUGACCUUUUUCAUGAAGUAUUGGCAAUAGGUAUUAUUUUGCAUCUUUCAAAUGGGUUUGCAUUUUUCUCUGGUGACCUAUCUCAUUAUUGAUCUAGCAAAAUUUUAUUUGCCCAUUAUUGCAUCAUUUUUGGGUUGCUCAUGAUUUAAUUGAAAUAUGCCUCAUUAUCAAGUUUUAUUUGUUUACCCUACUUAAAAUGAUGGGCUGGGGUGUUUAUUAUUUUUGCAGUGGUGUCUUGGUGGUUACAAGUCCACUGGAUUUUUAUUAACAAUUUUGGGUCUGAUUUUAUAACUCCAAUAAUUGUUUUCUUGUUGGAAAAAUGCUAAAUAAAACAUUCCACUUUAAUUCUGUUCUGGACUAGUGGUCUUUUUAUUUUUCCUAGGUUCUCUGUUACUUAAGUAGGUUAGGAAAAAUAAUUGCACUCACUGUUCAUUAAUUCCUAAUGCCUUUCUGAUUUCCCUAAGUUUUGGACAAAAAUGGCUUUUAAUAGAUAUCCCGACUCAAAUUUUCAAUACUGGGGUUCCCACUAUUUUUAAACAGUGUUUCAAUGGGGUUUGAACAUCUAUAAUUUUUUUAGGUUCAGCACAGAAGCAUAACAAAUUUUCUUUAAUUAAAUAAGGUUUGGUCAGUUUCUGUAUUUAAUUCUAAACUCUAAAAUUUAGAACAGAAAGCAUGGGGUUUAGUAAUUUUAAUUGGUAGUCCAUAAUAUUUAUAAUCCAGCAAAAUUGGUUUGGCAAUUUUUGGUUAAGUAUUUCUUAAGUUAUGAAUUUCCUAAGUUUUCUAUUCAUUAAAAAGAUUAAACAGAAAUGAUUAAAAGGAAAACUACUUUGCAACGGGGUCCCUGGCGGGUGUUCUCAAGUUUCCUUACAGACUAGUCCUUGGGCUACUAUUCAAGUGAGUCGCUGACAGUUCAGAAAGCCCCCUGAGUUCUUCUAAUCCUAACCCAAGGUCCUUCCCCCAAAUUAAACAGUACCCGCGGCGGAGGAAAGGGUGGAGGGGCCUACCGGCGGCGGGACUGCUCCGGUGAGGUGGCCGAGGGUGUAGGGGAGGUCCUGAGGGUCACUACGAUGUGCGGGUCGCCGUUGGGGAUGGUCGGAGUCGGCCGGUCCACGGGCGUAGGCGGGGGAGCUCAUCGGUGGCGAGGAGUCCGGCCUAUCCAGGGCACAAUUGACCAAUCAAACGGGUCAGAGAGCUUCACCAGGGAUCAAGGAGGGUGUGCACGCGAGGAAUUGAAGAACGGCUCACUGGAUUGCUCAGUCUAUGCGCGCAGGCGGGCGACCGAAGUCCGGCGAGGACGAUCUUGGUUCUCCGGUGAAGUUCUGCCGGGUCCGAGAGCUUGGGGAGCUUCACAAGCUAUUGGUGAAGCUAUCCGAGUGGCUGGCGCGACUGGGAAGCAACUAUAGUGGGCUGGCCACGGUGGCCGAGGCUCGGGUGGCAAUGGCGGGCGGAAAAGAGCUCACCGGAGCUAAGGAGGGGUGUCUGGCCGGCGAAGGUGAGCAUGGGGUGAAGUGAGGCGCGCCCGCAGAGGCUUUAUAGGCGUGGGCGGGCACGGCGGAGGGCGAGUGCGCGCGGCGGACUUGACCGAACGCUGGGGCAAGCGCGCGCCCGGGUUGGUCGAACGUCGGCAUGCCGACCAGGGUCGAACACGUGUGCGCGUUCAUUCUGCCCGAGUUCUGGCGCGUGUGGUCAUUCAUCCGAGCCUGCUCUCGCCUUGGUCAGUGCACAAAACCUCUUCUCCUCCCUAUAAGCUACCGAUCUUGUAUGGGGGUCAUAGGAUUUUGCCUACUGGUUUCAAAGAUUUGGAGCCCUAAAGUCUGGUCUGUCUCCCUGCCCGAGCCCGAGGCAAAUCCUAGGUUUUGUCAUGUCUAGGGCUCGCGUCCCAAUGCCAUCUUCUGGCAUAUGACAGAGGGGUUAGUUAGGCACAAUUUUGUCAAUGGGGUCAUUAGGAUUUGAGCUAGGGAUCAAGGUGAACACGCUCGGUCUUUAGCUCAAGGGCUGAAAUUCAGAAUUUUGAAUUUCAGAAAUUCCCAUUGAAUCCCCACUUGAGAAGCUUGUUUGGAGUUUUUAUUAAACUAUUUUGGACAAGCUUUCAUAAUCUUUAUUGUAGCUUAUUUAGUAUACUUCAAUGUUUAUAUUUGGCCUAAGCCAUGAUUUUAUAUUUUUCAUAGUCUUUUGCCCCUUUUCUUCAAUUCUACUUAAAGAGCUCAAUUAGGUUUGGUAUUAGGGUUUCAACAUUUUGCUCUUUUGAAAAUCUCAUUUGUUUUGAACAUGAUUCCUUUAGAUAUAAACUUAGUGGAUCUUUUAUUCUUAAGUUAAUUUGAUGCUUCAUGCUUAAUUUGGCUCACAUCAAAUGUUGAUUCUUGGGUUAGCAAUUGAGAGAAACCCUAAGUGACACUGGGGCGUCACAGGGGCUGCAAGGCACCAGCUGAUUUUAAGUGGCUUGUCUUUAUCCUCUGACAGGUGUCACAUUCUGAUACGUAUCGAGCUAUUUCCCUCUUCAUUCUGGUCCACCAAUACAAGGGUUUCAGAUCAUGGUGCAUCUUGGUGCUUCUCGGAUGCAUAGAGAAUUUGGAGAGAUGAGCCUCAUCCAAGAUUUUCUUCUUGAGAUCCUUGUUUUUAGAAACCACCAAUCUGCUUCCAAACCACAAUAUACCCUUCCCAUCUUGGCGGAAACACUUAUACUUCUCUGUCUUCUGAUGGAGGUUCUCCUUAAUGAUUUGCACUCCCUUGUCACUGAGUUGGGCCAUGAUUAUCUGGUCUCGCAAAGUUGGCUCAAUGGAAAUGUGAGACAAAGCACCAGAAGGAAUCACUUCAAUCUUCAUUUUGCUCAACUCAUCACACAGGGUGUUGAUGAGAGAAUCCAUCAUAACACAGUUAGAUUGUGACUUCCGACUCAAGGCAUCAGCUACCACAUUAGGUGGUAGUGUACCUCCAGGUCGUAUUCCUUGAUCAGCUCUAGCCAUCUUCUCUACCUCAUGUUAAGAUCAGCCUGAGUAAAGAUAUACUUGAGGCUCUUAUGAUCUGUGAAGAUGUUGCAGUGGGUUCCCAUCAAAUAGUGUCUCCACAUCUUCAAUGCAUGAACCACGACUGCUAAUUCCAAGUCAUGAGUCGGAUAAUUUUGCUCGUGAGGCCUGAGUGCCCUGGAUGCGUAGGCAAUGACCCGGUUGUCUUGCAUCAAAACACAACCCAGUCCAGUGCCAGAGGCAUCACAGUAUACAUCAAAUGGCUUGGCGUUGUCGGGUUGCACUAACACCGGUGCUGUGGUCAGAUGCUGCCUCAAGAUGUGGAAAGCGUCUUCACACUUCUGACCCCAGUCAAACUUGGCUCCCUUCUUCAACAAUUUAGUCAUGGGCUUCAUAAUUCAAGAGAAGUCUAGGAUGAAUCUUCGAUAAUAACCAGCCAAUCCUAGAAAACUUCGAAUCUGACAGACAGUUGUUGGCGGCUUCCAGUUCAUCACUUCUUGCACUUUAUCUGGAUCAACAGCUAUGCCAGAUUGAGAGAUAGUGUGACCCAAGAAUUUGAUUUCCUUUAGCCAAAAAUCACAUUUGGAUAGUUUGGCAUAAAGACGGUGCUCUCGCAGACGUUGGAGCACUACAUGCAGAUGACCGGCAUGCUCUUCUUCGUUCUUUGAGUACACCAAUAUAUCAUCGAUGAAAACCACCACGAACUUGUCCAGUUCAGGCAUGAAGAAAAAAUUCAUCAGAUACAUGAAGUAUGAUGGAGCAUUAGUCAGCCCAAACGACAUCACCAAAUACUCAUACAACCCAUAUCUGGUUGAGAAGGCAGUCUAUCACUUGCUCGUAUCUUGAUCUGAUGAUAGCUGGAGCGAAGGUCUAUUUUGGAAAACACUUUGGCUCCGUGUAAGUCCCAAAAUUGGUAUAAGAAAAAAAAUUAAUAAUAAAAUAAAUACACGAAGAAAUAAAAUAGCAAAUACAGAAAUCUCAAAUUAUACUUGAGUGUUGAAAUUUGAGGACUGAAUUUUGAAACCAAGAACUAUUUUUUUUAAAAGAUGUAAUAUAAAGGUUUUCAGUUCAACUACUAGAUGAUUAUUCAUUUCAUUAAAUGAUGCACCAUAAGCAUUUAUUUACAAGAAUAUUUAAUUUUGAAGUGACUUUUACUUCUUACCCACAUUCAAAAUACUAUUUUUCUAAAAAAAGAGAAAACAAUAUGAGUGUUUCUCAUAUUUCAAACAUCUAUAAAUCAAUUAAAAUAAAUACAUACCUAUGACUUCAUAAUUGAUUUUGAGUAUGUAAUAAAAAUUUGAAUUCCUAAACUUUAUCGUGGAUUUGGAUUUUAAAUUUGUAAAUCAAAAGAGAAUGAAAUGGGAAAAUUAGAAAUUGAGAAGAAAAUAGAAAAGAAAAGGAAGGAUUUCUUGCGCUUGGGGAAACCCUCACCUGUCUCGGCCCAUUUCCUUUUCUUGCGCGCGGCCCACUAACUCCCUUCCGCGCAGCCCACGAAGCCAACCCCUCCUCACAUGCGUGCUCAGCCACUGCCUCACGGCCCUAUCGGCCAGUACCUGCUAUCACGCAUGGAUUUAAUCUAUCUCUGACAAUCCAGCAUGCCUUGUCAGUUUCAUCCUCUUUCCCUGCUUUCUCGCUAACAGACACGCUUGCCUCACCUGGUCUGCCUGGAAUCUCGGCCAGUCGGCCAUGCCCCACUCAACCGUCCGCAGAACUCGCGGGCAGCUCCGGGCUCGCCCAAAUCGCGCGCCCCUAGCUAACCGCCUCUAGCUUUGCCUUGGCCGCAGCUUGGGCGCAAUCAACACGGUCGUGACCAACUCCCUGUUAAUCCGCUUGGAUCGUUGCGGCCUCUCUGCGGUGCAUAUAGGUCCCAAUCCCUGCGUCCCCAUGGCCCCUCGCCAGCCGACGAUGCUCCACCACGCCCGCGUCCCUGCUACCCUCUAGCGCCUGCCGUUAUUUUCCCUGCACCCCUAUCUACUCCAUGGACCAUCCCAUGACCGGUCCACGUGCUCAUCUGGGGUCCCAUCGAGGCUCCCCGCAACCGAGAUGCCUGGACGCGUGUAUCGGUAACCCGACCGCGACCGCCGCCGUGGUUCUCCACUGUUGGCGCCACCAUGAACCCAGCCGCGCUCGCUGCCAUGGGCGCUUCGUCGAUUUUCCAUGGCCGGGGAACUCCACCGCGCCGCCGCUGCUGUAGUCAAUCCCAUGUGCAUUGCCGCACCGAGAAGAUGGCCGUCGUGGUCAACUCGCGUGGACCUCGCCGCUUGGCCACAGGUGAUUCCUGGCAUUCUCUGGGCGUACUCGCGGGGGGCUGUGGGCCUUGGCGAUGGGCUGCUGGAAACACGGAACGCCGGUGUUGCGUGUGUUAGGAUGUGUCCUCUACACUAGCCGGUUAACAGUAACCAGGGUAGGGUUAAUCCUAACCGUCUAACCGCGCCCCUGAUCGGGGGCUAUCCUAACCGUUGGUUGCAGCCCCCGGUCACACGACGCCAUAUAAAUAGAUUAAGGGGGCCGACGGGUUUAGCCAACGCUAAUCGCUCGACCACAAACCCUAAUCGACACUUUGAGAGGAACCGAUCCCCUAGGCGCUCGGAGUGACUGGAAUCGCUAUGACUAUGUCUCAGAUCCCCGUUAUCCCAUCGGGAUCUGAGAUUCCCCCUGCAGGCAACAUUGGAGGAGCUGAUCCACCGCCGAUCAACGACGGAAAUCAAUCUCCUCGACACUAGCAGGGAGAUCGACAAGAAGCAGGAGGCGGGUCUUCGCUGCAAGACGCCGCCGCAAUGAUGGCUAGGAACAACAACGACGGUAUGUAUACAUGUACCCCUCAGUAGAAUAGAUCUACUCAUCAUCGAGGUAUUUUAGACACGGAUUGGUAUUCUAGGGACUUAGGAAACGAUCCUAAGCACCAGCAAUCCCUAACAAUGGUAUCAAAGCCACCUAAGAACCCUAGAUCUCCUAAUCCGCAUCGUUUUAUGAGAUCACAGAAAGGUCUCAGAUAUAUGUGAUGAACUCAUUUAUUUAUCAUCAUUCAUCACCCGAGAACAGAGAGUUUAGAAUAGAUUAAAAGAAUUUUAGAUCUCUCGGGUUAGGGUUUUAACCUAACCUAAAUCUAGGGUUUUAGGCCACUGUCAGAGACUUGGUCUCGGCCAAACCCAGGAAAUCCGAGAUAGUAAAACAGAUCAAUGUUUUAGGGUUAGGGUUUAAUAACCUAACCCUAAUCAUGACUAGGCCAAAACAAACAACACCUCCACUCCAGCGGCUUAGAAGCCUUGCUGGGCCUGGCCGUGUGGCCGAUCAAGGCCAUUUUGGCAUUUUUUUUAUCCAGCGAUUUUUUUUCUGGAAUUAGAGAACAGCAAAGAAAUAAGAAAAUAGUGAAGAAAAUUCAGAAUAUUUUUUUUCUCAGUUAUAGAAAAUUUCAGAGAUAUUUACGGACUAUUUUUAUUCCGCUGCGUACUUUGAUACUUUUAUUUAUAUUUUAUGCAAUUUUUUCCAGUUAAUUAUGAAACCAACGUGGAUUGAUUAUUGUUUAAAUUGCAUAGAAUUCAGAAAAUUUUGUGGUUAUUGAAUAUUUUAACCAACGUUGGAUAUUGUUACCACAAUUUAUUACAAGUUUAUGUUUUCUAGAUCAUCCAACGAUGGUUUUAGAAAUUUUGUGAUCAGAAAUUUUCAUAGAUAUGACAUGAUUAUUAUUUGACCAACGUUGAAUAUUUAAUUCAUGCAUUUUCUAUGAUUCAGUAUUUAUUUCAGAUGUCCUAAAUAUUAAUAGAAAGUCUUGUUAAGGAACAGAUUCUCCAUCCCCUAGACUUCACAGACUUAGAGCAAUGCAGAGAUUGCAUUAAGGGUAAAUUUGCGAAGCAGAUUAAGAAAGAUGCUAAGCAUAGUACGAGAGUGUUAGAAAUUAUUCAUACAGAUAUCUGUGGUCCUUUUCCAGUUAGGACAGUAGAUGGGUUUAAUUCGUUCAUAACCUUCACAGAUGACUACUCUCGCUACGGUUAUAUUUAUCCCAUUAAGGAAAGAUCAGAAGCUUUAGACAAGUUUAAACAGUUCAAGGCUGAAGUAGAAAAUCAACACGAUUUGAAGAUAAAGAUUGUCCGAUCAGAUCGUGGGGGUGAGUACUAUGGGCGCCAUACCGAGUAUGGCCAGGUCCCAGGACCUUUCGCGAGUUUUUCUCCCGUAACAAUAAGUCAAGUGGCUCUGCCAAGUAUAUUGACAUUAAGUGUUAUAUUGUUAAGGAGAAGAUUCUGGAUCACACCAUUCAAGUUGAGCAUAUAAGAACCCAUCAGAUGCUUGCGGAUCCGCUCACAAAAGGUCUUCCACCCAGCGUGUUUAGUAAGCACGCAGCCGGCAUGGGAUUAAGGGAGUACCUAUGAUCUAGAAUCACAGGGGCUAGAGAUUGCAACCUAGUAAAAUCUUUCGUUCUGAAGCAGGGGAGCAUGUUGUAGUCAAUGAGUGCGGUGAUACUUAAUAGAUCAUUGUCACGCAUUGGUCUCUAUGUGUAAACUUGUUAAAGGACGGAAUUAAUAAAAGUUUGAGUGUGAGAUAUGUAGAGAACAAAGGGGAGAUUGUUAGGAUGUGUCCUCUACACUAGCCGGUUAACAGUAACCGGGGUAGGGUUAAUCCUAACCGUCUAACCGCGCCCCUGAUCGGGGGGGGCUAUCCUAACCGUUGGUUGCAGCCCCUGGUCACACGACGCCAUAUAAAUAGAUUAAGGGGGCCGACGGGUUUAGCCAACGCUAAUCGCUCGACCACAAACCCUAAUCGACACUUUGAGAGGAACCGAUCCCCAAGGCGCUCGGAGUGACUGGAAUCGCUAUGACUAUGUCUCAGAUCCCCGUUAUCCCAUCGGGAUCUGAGAUUCCCCCUGCAGGCAACAUUGGAGGAGCUGAUCCACCGCCGAUCAACGACGGAAAUCAAUCUCCUCGACACCAGCAGGGAGAUCGACAAGAAGCAGGAGGCGGGUCUUCGCUGCAAGACGCCGCCGCAAUGAUGGCUAGGAACAACAAUGACGGUAUGUAUACAUGUACCCCUCAGUAGAAUAGAUCUACUCAUCAUCGAAGUAUUUUAGACACGGAUUGGUAUUCUAGGGACUUAGGAAACGAUCCUAAGCACCAGCAAUCCCUAACAGCGUGAACUGCGCAUCACGGCCAAGCUCCUCCGCGGUGCCGCACACUGUCAUUGGCAGGUGAGUUUGCGCAACUCCUAGUAAGUUGCCCUCCCCUAGUAUCGCCUUCAUACUCCUCACGCGUUGCGGGGAUCGUCCUGGUGUUGGGUGCACCAGGGGGUGGGUCUGCUUUCACCGAUGACGGUCGCCGCAGUAGGGGGCGGUGGUCAUCGUGCUUGUGUCCAGGGAUGGAAGAAGAGAGGAUAGGCGUGUGAUGGGAAACCAAUGGUUGGGAUUAGAAGCCGUCAUACCCUUUCGUGAUUUAAAUCCGAACCGUAGGUCGUUCAUCCGAGGGUAGUAAUGUAUUCCUUCGCGGGAUGAUCUGAGCCAUCAGAUCUGGAUCUAGUGGGUUACAAUCCAUACCGACUCAUAGAUGAUUAAGAUCCAAUCGCGGCCAUCUGCUUUUGAUCGGGUGGCUCAUAGUGAACGAUACCCCUUCGCGGAUACAAUUUGCUAAAGAGUCCCUGGAAUACUGCUGAAUAAACCCGCCGUCCCUUGCGACAGAAUAAUGAGGCUUAGGGAUUCUUGCUCUGUAACCCCUGGGUUUUUGUUUAAUCAUGCGCGCAGGCCAGAAUCAUAGGAAAUUCAGAAAUUCAAUUAGAAAAUGAAUUCUAGUGUUAAAAUAAUUUCAAAAACUUAUUUAAUUCAUAGAAAAUCCAUUUUAGCUCCUUUUCAGUUCAUUCCAGUUCCUAUAAUUUUGUUAUAUUAUUGUUUAUCACCUAGUGUCUCUGUUUUGACAUGAAAAUCAUAUUAAAAUGUAUUUCCUAAUUAAUCUUAUAUCAAAUACAUAAAACCUUAGGAAAUUCAUAACUCCCCUGUUUUAACUCCGAAUUGUCUCGUUCAAGUUGCGUUAGUCUCAUACAAGUAUUUACUAUGCAGUAAAAACAUCUAUUAUACCAUAUCUCAUUAUUUUAUAAUUAGAUCUGUAUUUAACUGAUGUUGGUUAGUCCGGUUAAACUGCUUAUCAUUGUAGACUACUAGAAUAUGAUAUAUGGUCAAUUUAUAACUUAGAUUAAAGUUGAGAUAAUUAUUUAUAGAAUAACCUCUUAUAUAAUUUAUAUUAACCAAUUUAUAAUAUAGUUUAAUAUUUUAAUCACAUAGAUCUUCUAUAAAAUCAUAACUUCUUAAUCGUAACUCCGAUCUUAGUAGUUCUCGAUCCCACGAUCUCGUAGCGACGCGUAGAUCAUUAUUAUACAAUUUGUUCUUAUGUUUGGUGUGUUGUUAAUUUUGUCUAUACACUGUUUGUUUGUAUUGCUACGACUAGCGGUGAGGUCACGAGGAUCUGCAGAAUCAUUUUGGUACCUAGAAUCUCAAGUGACAGGCAAGUUGUGCCCUUGACCACAUUUGUUACCCAAUAAUAUUCUUUAUUAUCAUUAUUCAGUGCAUAAGUUUAAUUUUGAUGGGACCCAAAAGGUCACCCUAGUCUGAUUAUCUUUUACCUUGUUUACCCCUGAAUCACUUGAGUAGUUUUGCUAUUGCUUUAUAUGGUUUUGGGUUACUACUUCAUUAUAUCCAUGUUCCAAUUAGUAUGUUAUUUUAUUUAUGUUCAUGUCAAGAUCAUUAAUGUUAAUUGGAACAUCUAGCUUAACUUGAGAAACAUGUGCCACCAAAAGGGAGGAAUGGGACCCCUUGGCUAACUAAUUAGGAAAGCUAGUGGAAGACUACCUUACCCGAAAGGGGCAAGGGCAGUAGGGGAGUUACAUGCAAGGAGGUUCUCGGGUUGAUUUUGCUGCGAUGGCGGUCAGAUAGGGGAUUCUUGCAAGUGCUCUUCCCAUAAAAUGUAGCGGGUUUUCGAAAGCUAGUGGAACUUUGUAAAGGCCUCAUAGUGGAUCCCUAGCCAUUCACCUCGGUAGUGUCUAAGGGCCUUGCAAACCCUGGUGACAUGGGAAACACGACUUGUGGGUAAAGGGUACAACCUCUGCAGAGUGUAAAACUGUUGUACUAGCCGAGCUCACGGUCAAGAGCAGCUCAAGGCUCUCGCAUGAUUAAUUUAUGGAACUUAAAUUCAAUUUGUCAUAUGCAUUUGCAUGGGAUUAUUUAUUAAUGUUGUUCUAUUAUUUAUUAUGGUUCGAUGUUUACUUACACUUAGUAACUGCUAAUAAAAUUUUGACCAGCUUAUUAAAAGCAAUGCUCAGCUUUAACCCCUAUUGUUGAUCAGCCUUAUAAAUCACAUGAACUCCCACCUUUGGUGAGUUCAUGCCACAUUAUUCCCCACAACUUGUUGAGCGAUGAACAUAUGUGAGCUCACCCUUGCUGUCUCACACCCCCACAGGAGAAGAACAAGUGGUUCAAGAGGAGCCACCAUCAAGGAGUUCGAUUCGAUCUAGGUGGCGUCUCCCAGUUGACUUUCUGGCGCCAAGGAUGGAUUUUAGAUCCUGUUAUAUUUAUCUUUUUAUUUUGUAAGACUUCCGCUAUAUAAUAAAUACUCUGAUUAUAUUGUGACAUUUAUCUCUAUACACUAUGUUAUUAUAUAUGUUGUCUUCUUUGGCACAUGUAUGAGAUGCACCCGGCUUUGUUCCUUAAAAUUGGUGUGACACUCCGACCAAUUGAUUGAAAAGAACAUCAAUACGAGGCAAAGGAUACUUGUUCUUGAUAGUCACCUCGUUGAGUGGGCGGUAAUCUAUGCAUAGUCUUAAGCUUUCAUCUUUCUUUUUCACAAACAAAGCUGGACAUCGCCAAGGCGAAGUACAUGGGUGGAUGAAACCCUUGUCCUACAAUUCUUACAAUUGUUUCUUCAAUUCUGCCAAUUCAGCGGGUGGCAUCCGAUAAGGCCUCUUGGAAAUAGGUGCCGUUCCCGGUUGCAAUUCGAUGGCGAAUUCAAUAUCCCGGUUUGGUGGCAUUCCUGGUAAUUCAUCAGGAAAAACAUCUGCAUACUCAUAGACCACUGGAAUCUUCUUCAAGGGUAACUCUAUCAUAGCAAAAGCACAUGACCGAGUAGAGUCUUGGCUAGGUAGAUACAAUGCAAGGUCUCCGAAGGUAGGAGAACAGAUUUCCAGAGCUCUGGCAGAUACAUCCAACACCACUCAGUGUGGAGUCAUCCAAUCAGCUCCGAGAAUGAUGUCCAUACCCUCUAAUCCCAAAAUCAGGAGUGUGGUUUUGAAGAUCUUACUUCCCAAUGAGAUAGGCACACUUCGAUUUAAUUGGUUUGUUGCAAUUUUGCCCCCAGGCGUUGCUAUCAUGAAAGACCCUUUUGUGCGAUAGAAAGGCAGUUGACAUUUAGCACUGAACUUCUGGCUAAUGAAGCUAUGAGAUGCACCAGAAUCAAACAAAAUUAAUGCAGGUUGAUUAAAAACUGAAAAGAUACCAGUCAUGAUGGGGGCUCCUUCAGGUAACUCCUCUAGAGUAGUGAAGUUGAGCUUCCCUUGCCUGACUUGCACCUUCUGCUUUCUUCCUCUGUCUUGAUUUGGUGUUGGCAUCUGACUUACUGAUUCCUUGGGCAAUUCUUGGCAAAAUGGCCCACAUUGCCACAAGUGAAGCACUUGUUCCCAUUUCCCUAGCGGAACUGCUGCUGUUGUUGGGGUUGAUUGUUCCUUGGAGCGAGAGCUGGAAAGCAGUUGGGUGCUUGCUGCUGUUGAGGUGGCCUGAUCACCCAUCUGCCUGCCUGCUACUGGAAUCCUCUGCUCUGAUUGUUGGAAACAAUCCUGAACCUCUUGGGGGUGCGGAGGGUCCUGACAUUGGGGCCUUCCUCUUCUUCUCUGCCCGGUGAGCUACAAUAUAGUCCUCCUGUGAUAUGGCCAGGUUGACCAACUCAUUGAAGCUAUCAGCCCAGACAGUGUUGAGACGCUCACGCAGCUUGGUGUUGAGACCCCUGCGGAAGCGGUCUCUCUUCUUUUCAUUAGAGUCAGCAUGAUACCCCACAUACUGGCACAGGUCGUUGAAGGGCUGGGCAUACUGCAACACAGUGCGGUUCCCUUGAUUGAGUGCCAGGAACUCAUUCAACUUGCGGUCAAGAAUCCUAGCUGGAAUGUGGUGUCCCCUGAAGGCAGUCUUGAACUCCUCCCAUGAAACUUCAUGAUCAGCAGGUAGCAUGGCGCAGAAAUGGUCCCACCAUGUCCGAGCGGGUCCACGAAGCUGCUGCGCGGCGAAGCGAGCCUUGGUGUCAUUGGGGUAGUCUGCCAUGAGGAGGGGAAACUUGGACUCCAUGACGCCUAGCCACACGUCAGCGUCCAGUGGAUCCUCUAACUUGGUGAACAAGGGCGGCUGCGUGCUCAGGAACUCCUGAUAAGUUGCCGCGGCUGGAGGUCGCUGCGGCUGGCCUCCACCAUGCUGCUGAGGGUGGGGUUGGCGCUGCAAGAGCUGUCGCAGAAUUUUGCUCUGCUGAGCCAUCAGCUCCUGCACCGUGGGAGCUAGAGGAGGUGGGGGGACUUGCUCAUUCUGCCCGCGAUGCUGCCUAGCUGCCAUAUGAAAACAGAGAUUGCCGCCAUUGUUAUCCCAAUUCAUAAUUCCGAACAAUAUGCUUUAUAUCAUACGGAAAGAAAAUGUCAUAACAUAACAUCAAUUUGAACGAGGACAACAUGAUUACAAUCACUUCAUUGUUCGCAAAAGUUCUCAUGGGUUACAUCAAUUUAGGGGAAAGUACCCGUAAGUCUAGUCCAAAAUCUGAUGCCAACUAAGCUCGCGUGGGUUUCUAUCCUCAUAAUGCGUCAAAAUAACCCAUCAACCCUGAGUAGUGGAAGCGACACUGGAUACGGGUGAAGGGGGCAUCUCGGAGGCAGUCGCAUUGGUACCAGGGCUGGUCCUAACUCCUCGGGAGCCUCCUCUCCCUCGCUUCCGUCCUCGUUGGCCUCCAUCUCUAGGUGGUGCAUGUCCAGGUGGUUGUUAGCUUCCUCAAGCUCCUGCUGCACAUCGUGGAGAUGGUUUUCCAGGACAUCAAUGGUGUUGUCCCGGAUCUCCACCUACUGCUCCAGGGUGGCGAUGCACUGGCUCAACCGUUCCACCUGUAGGUCCUUUUCCACCGAUUCUGAGGACAGGUCGACCACGAAAUCCUCUCGGCUAUCGAGGGUGAGCUUAGUGGUCUGAACUAGGUUAGCAAGAUGUGCCAUAGCGUCGCUCUGCAGGGCCUGUAGGCGGUACAGUGCGCUCAUGCACUGAAUAGUGAUCCUCCCAACUAAGUCGGGAUACAUAGCCCACAUGUCCUUCACAUGGCUCACACGGUUGCACCACAUGGGGUCAUCCCUCUUCUCAGUAGGGAAGAGUCCCAGUGGGUGCAUCACCAUCUCUAGGGGAUGGUAGCCGCAAAAAGUCGUCAGGGUCUUCAAAGUUGCCGCCUCGGUGGUGUCAUUUGUCCUGGAUCCAAUAGUCUCAGAGUCAAGGGAACGCCAACCCGGCUGAAGGGGGUGAGCCUCCAGAGUCAGCCAGACUCGGCAACGUGGCACCCGAUGCUCCUCGUACAGCUGCACCGUGUACAAAGGGGGCGAAGGGUAACCGGCGGAGUUGAGCACCUCCCACAAGAUGGAAGAAAAACCCUCGUGAGAAAGGAAAUCGGAACUGAAACAAGUGUCUCCUCCAUUGGCGGGGGUGGGUGAAGUCAUCUAUGGAAAAGGAUCAGAUGUAAAGGUUAUGGUAGAAGAAAGAAAAAUAUGUGAGCCCGGGUUGUUAAAAGGAAGUGGGUUAGAUCAAAUUUUUACUCCUUUAAUUUCUAAUCCUUUCGUGUUUUAUAAUGCAUGCAUGCUGAAAAGAGUGUCUCCUCAUCGAAUCAUAAGGGUGCUUUUAGGGCAUCCUUGAAAUCCUAAGACUAGCCCAUAGGGCCUACUUAUUUAGCCACCUGUUUUCCCCACUAUUCCUAAGGCCUUUCAUCCUAGGUCUAGCGUUCUAGUCUCGACGAUUCCAAUACUAGUUUCUAAGCAAGUUUUAGAUUUUUGAAAAGUUGGUAUUCGCGAUUUAUUGCUCCCUCUGUGGUGGUACUUGCUCCGAUACUAGCUGUGGCAGAACCGCCUGAAUUAUUCCAGCUUAAGUGCCCAUGUCACGCCUUAGAGGCCGCAACACACUUAAAUUGGAAUAAUCCAUCAGUCCCUCAGAUCUAGUCUGAUAAAGCCACUACCCGGGAUCAAAUACCACUAACUCACUCGAUGGUGAGUCACAGAGAAAAUACAAUAAAGCAGGAAACCUCAAAUUAAAGUACUGGGGUUAUUACAUGAAUCAGAGUUUUUAAGUAAACUGAAACAAGUUCAUAAUUUAAAUUGCAGCGGAUAGUCGAUAACGUCGAAUGAUGAGGAAUACGGCAAGGCCUAGCCCACUACUCCUCGUGCUCCUCCCUUGCUGGAGCAGCAUCCCACUCGACCGUCCAACCAGGUGGCAGGGUGGUAGGCCAAGUCACACCAUCAACCAUAUCCGGAAGCGUACCUACAAAAAUUAUGCCACAAUCAAGGCUGAGUAUACUAAUACUCAGCUAGACUUACCCGGUGUGAGGAAUCUACUACUCUACCUCUAGACCAUGCAGCUGUUUGGCUGAGGGGUUUGGUUUUUCCAAAAGCACUAGCUAAGUCUAAAAUCAAUUUUAGCUUUUCCAAUUCUAGUAUCAUUAAUUUUAGCUAAGUUUGCUCCUUCUAAAGCAUACAUGGUAGCAAUCAUUUAGUACAAUCAACAUGUUGUCUCAAAUCAACCUUAUUUCACUUUUUACUCAAUGCAGUACAAGGGGUCAAGCAGUCUCAUUAGCUGCGAGAAGCAGACAAUUCGAAUCGAUUUUUUAAACCUUGCAAGGUAAACCUAAACACACGACAUGUAGAGGCACUCCAUCCCCACACAUAUCAACCGUCCCCAUCGAUUCCCCGUUUGCGGCCAGGGCUCACCGCCUUGGCAUACAAUGCUCCACUGACCCCGGCUACCGCUAUGCAGUGACUGCACUUGUACCCACCAUAGCUAGCAUGGGAGACCCAGUCUCAGGAAAGUUCGCGCCCAGCUUCACUCAGGUACUAGGUUUACCGGUUACCAUAUUUCCCGACAUGUGUUUAGUACGUUCAAACGCUUGACUCAGGUAUCCACACAUUAAUCCUUAGUUCCUUUUCCCGUCUCAUGGACAAGGCAUCCACCCUAGAUCCAAGUCCAUAAACCAUCAUAGAUCCCGUUAUCAAGAUGAAUACAAUCAAUUCCUGACCUCAUGCGAGUGCUAGAAAAAUCACUCAACUUCUACCGAGAUCCUAAUUAGCAAAGCAGGUACUCGACCUAGCAUACUAGUAUCCAUCUCAAAAAGGAAUCCUGAGUUCAUGCAACUAAGGGUUUCAAGCAACUCCUACACUUAAGUGCACAUUACAAGCCUACAAACAUUAAGUGUAGUAAAGUAGCAUAUAUAAACUGGUUAAACCGGGGCCUGCCUUCAAAUGCUGGGGCUGCGGGGAGAUCUUCUGCGGCAGGCUUGGGAGCUGGCUCCUAAUCUUCCUAGUGGACAGCUCCUUGCUUGGGAAUGAGCAUGUACUCUCCGUCAGUGAGGUUGCAAUCUAAUGAAUGCAAUGAGUAAGAUAUAUGUAUAGCAGGAUAUGCAAAUUAGCAAUUAUAAUUGGAUGGUGAAUGAUUAAAUUAAUAAGGUAAAGUUUAACCUUAUUACUGGAAAUUUGGUGGUACACUUAGCCAUUUAGGUCAAGUUUGGUUAGGUUAAAUGGUCAGAUUAUUUUAGUGUUCCACUGAUUUCCUUUUUAUGUUUUAGUGAAAGUUUAUUUUAAUUCCUGGCUGAAUUCAUUGGGGGUGAGAUUCAUUAUUCUUCCCAAUUUCUCUCUUCUUUCCCUUUUCUCUUAUGUUUUAUGGUGGGUUUGAACUACAAUCUAGCUUUAUAAAUUUCCAAAAAUUCUGCAAAAACUACAGUAGCUUCUCACUAGUGUAUAACUCUCUGUCUCAAAAAUUGGGGCUUAAAAAGUUAAGGGUUCUCUCUGUACAAAAUUAUCAAAUCUUAGGGCAAAGGGGGUGCUUUGAACUACAACUCUCCUUUAACAGUGGAUUAUUCCCUAAGGCUUAUUUUUGCUGGCAUUUAGGUGUAAUAAAAUGACUUUGUACCAAAAUUUAGCCACUAAUACUUAUUGGUUAUUUUACUAUGAUUUUCUAAAGUUUUUUUGGCCAAAGGGGUGCUUUAUACUACCACUAUACUUGAAAAAUGUCAAACAAUCGAUUUCUAAUUUUUUCUAUCUUUUUCUUUGUGCAAGAGCAAUCAUUCUAGAAUUUGGCAACUUUUUGCUUAAGGAAAGAGGGGGUAGAAAUUCUUGGAUUAUAUGGUCUUUUUCAUGGGGUAGGGGGUAAUGGGUGUUAUCUUAUAUUUUUGAAUAGGUUUUGUAUUUUUCUCUGGUGGUCUACUUCAUCAAUAGUUGGGUAAAAUUCAUUUGCCUAUUGUUGCACAAUUUUAGCCAUUCUUAUGAUUUAAUUAGAACAUGAACCAAAACCAUAUUUGAAUUAUUUAGCUCACUUAUUGUGAGGGGUUCAGGUGUUUAUUAUUUUUGUAGUGGUGUUCUAGUAGUUAGGAGUCUACUGAAUUUUCUCUAUCCUUUUUGUAAUGGUCCUUGUUUUUUUAAUCAUGGUUUUCUUUGGUUUCUUAGUGCCUAAUAAAUAUUUAACCCUGGAUUAGCUUGGGACUAGGGUUCUUUGUAUUUUUCCUAGGUUCCUCAUCACUUAAGUAUACUAGGAAAAAUAUGAUCCUUCUCUGUUUAUUAAUUUCCACUACCUUUCUUAAUUUUCUAAGUUUUGGACAGAUAUAGUUUUUAAUAGCAAAACUUGAGUUAAUCUUGUAUACUGGGGUGCUCAGUAUUUUUGAACAGUGCCUAAGUUGGGUAUGUAUCUCUACAAAUUUUCUUGAGCCUAGCAUAGAAGCAUUUUUAUUUUUCUUUAUAUUAAUAAGGUUUGGGUAGUUUCCCUAUUUAAUUCAAAACUCUUAAAAUUAACACAGAAAACAUGGGGUUCAAUAUUUUUGUUUGAUGGUUCAUAUUAUUUUGAAAGCAGCAAAAUUGGUUUGACUAAUUUUGGAUAAAUAUUCUUCAAGUUAUGAAUUUCCUAAGUUCUCUAUUCAUUAAAAAGAAUAAUCAGAAAUGGUUAAAUGGAAACUAACUUUGCACCGAGGUCCCUGGCGAUUGUUUUCAAAUUCCCUUACAGACUAGUCCUUAGGUCACUAUUUAAAUGUGCCACUAACAGUUUAGAAAACCCCCUAGGGUUUUGCUAAACCUAACCCGAGGUCCUUCUCCCAAAUAAACAGUACCCGCGGCUGAGGAAAGGGUGGAGGGGCUUACCGAUGGCGAGAUUGCCCCGAUGAGGUGGUCGAGGGCGUAGGGGAGGUCGUGACGGUCACGCCAAUGUGCGGAUCGUCUCUGGGGAUAGUCAGAGUAGGCCGAUCCACGUGCGCAGACGGGGGAGCUCGUCGUCGGUGAGGGCUCCAGCCUAUCUAGGGCAGUAGAGUUCAAUUAAACCUGUUAGUGAGCUUCACUAGGUGCUAGGGAAGGCAUAGGCGCGAGGAAUUGGAGAAUGGCUCGCCGGAUAGCUCAGCCUACGUGCGGUGGCGGACGACCGAAGUCCGGCGACGGUGAUCUUGCUGUUCCAGUGAGGCAGGGCUUCGAUCCUUGUUUGGAGAAGCUUCACGGCUCCCCGGAGAAGCUGUCCAAGGGCUCGGUUGAGGCUAAGGGUCUCUGGAAAUGGCUGGCCGCGGUGGCUGGCACUCGGGUGGCGUAGAGCUCGCCGGAGCUAAGCACGGUGUCUGGUCAGCGAAGGUGAGUGCGGAGUGAGGUGAGGCACGUGUAGGGGUGGUCUUAAAGGCGCGGGCGAGCACGGCCGAGGGGUGGCUCUGACACGCGCUCGAGGUGUGCGCGGGUGAGCGCUAGUGCGCGCUCUAGCGCCUGGGCACGACAUCGAGCACGAGGCAGCGAUAGAGAGGUCAAGUUCAAGCGCGGAUUGGCUCCAAAUCUUUGCAAUUAUGGCCAUGAUCUCAUUGAGAGAUCUCUUCCCCUGACAUUCCUUUAUCGUUUGUGUGUGGAGGCUUAUGGGUUUUGCUGACUGGAGCCAAAGAUAUGGAGUGAUGAAGUUUGGUUUGUCUCACUGCUGAACUCCAAGAGGAAAUCCUAGAUUUGACGUGUCUAGGGCAUGAAUCUUGAUGCCAUCUUCACACACAUUGCAGAGGGGUUAGUUUAGAACAAUUUUGUCAAUGGGGACUUAAGGAUUUGAGCUAGGGAUCAAGGUGAACGUGCUCAAGUUCUAGGUGAGGGCUGAAAUUCAACAAUCUGAAUUUCAGAUUUUCCCUAGAGAGCUUCCACUUGGAUGGCCUUUUUGGGGAUUUUAAUCAAUUAUUUUGGCCAAACUUUUAUAACAAUUAUUGUAGCUUAAUUAGUGUAUUUCAACUUUUAUAAUUGGCCUAAGCCAUGAUUCCAUGUUUUUCAUGGUCUUUUUACCAAUUUCUUCCUUUCUACUUAAAUGGCCUAAUUAGGAUUGUUCUAGGGUUUAAACAUUUUCCCAUUUUGAAUGCAUGAUAUGAUUUAGGCAUGAGUCUUUAGGACAAAAGAAUUAGUUGAAUUUUUUCUCUCAAGUUUUUGGUGUCUUUUGCUCAAUUUGAUUCACAUGAAAUAAUGGUUCUUGAGUUAGCACUGAGAAGAACUCUGGGAAUUACUGGGGUGUUAAAGGGGCGUCUCCCAUUAUAAAGCAUGCUACGAGCAAAUUUAAAAUUUUCAUUUUCUAACUCAUGCUUGGCAAUUUUAGCAUUUAGAUUGGCUAUGUGAUCAUUUUGUUCUUUAAUCAUAGCAAGGCGAUCAUUCAUUGCAUCAAUAUUAACAUGUUUACAUCUAGUGCAAAUAGUGACAUGCUCAACAGUAGAUGUGGAAACAUUGCAAGCAUUCAAUUCUUCAAUCUUAGCAAUUAAACUAGCAUUUUCAGUUCUAAGAUAAGAAAUUGAAUCAUUGCAAAUAUUAAGCUCUUUAGACAAGUUUUCACAUUUUUCUACUUCAAGAGCAUAUACAUCUUUGAGCUUAACGAAUUUCUUAUUUUCCUUAACGAGCAAGUCCUCUUGGCAUUCCAAGAUAUCAUCCUUCUAGUUAAUGGUUUCUAUCAAUUCAUUAAUUUUCUUCUUUUGCUCUUUGGUAAGGUUUGCAAAAAGGGAAGUUAAAUCAUCAUCAUCACUAGAGCUACCCUCAUCAUCGGAAGUAGUGUAUUUGGGGAUAUCUCUAGGAUGUACCUUCUUCUUUUUGCUAUCCUUGGCCAUGAGGCAUUGGUGGCCGACGUUCGAGAAGAGAAGGCCUUUUGUUGACGGUGAUGUUGGUAGCGUCCUCGUCGGAGGAGGAGUCAGUGGAGCUCUCAUCAGAGUCCCAUUCCCGCCCCAUGUGUGCCUCGCCACCCUUCUUCUUGUUGUAGUAUCUUUUCUUUUCCAUCUUUUUCUUCCCUUUCUUGUCGUCGUCCCUGUUAAUGUCACUUGUGUAUCGACAUUUAGCUAUAAAGUGACCGGACUUACCACACCUGUAGCAAACCCUCUUAGAACGGGGUUUGUUGUCCUUCCCCUUCCUUUGCUUGAGGAUUUGUCGGAAGCUCUUAAUGAUAAGAGCCAUCUCCUCGUUGUCGAGCUUGGAGGCGUCAAUUAGGAGUCUACUUGGUGUAGACUCUUCCUUCUCUUCCAUUGCCUUGAAAGAAACGGGUUGCGCCUCGGGCAUGGAAGUGACGCCUUGCUCCAAGUUGACAAUAUGUUUGGAGUCUUUGAUCAUAAGUUCAAAGCUCACAAACUUGCCAAUGACCUCCUUGGGAGACAUCUGUUUAUAUCUAGGAUCUCCACGAAUUAAUUGAACUUGAGUGGGAUUACAAAAAAUAAGAGAUCUUAUAAUAACCUUGACCAUUUCAUGGUCAUCCCACUUGGUGCUCCCAAGGUUGUGGACUUGGUUGACCAUCGUCUUGAGCCGGUUGUACAUUGCUUGUGGUUCCUCUCCUUUGUGAGGACGAAUCGACCGAGUUCUCCCUCGAUCGUUUCGCACUUGGUGAUUUUGGUCACCUCGUCGCCUUCAUGCAUCGUCUUGAGGACGUUCCAAAUUUCUUUGGCACUCUUCAACCCUUGCACCUUGUUGUACUGCUCUCGGCACAAGGAAGCGAGGAGUAUUGAGGUGGCUUGGGAAUUGAAGUGCCUUAUUUGGGUGGCCUCAUCAGAGUCGUAAUCCUCGUCGCCCACCUGUGGUGCCUGCACUCCAAACUCAACAAUAUCCCAUAUGCUUUCGUGGAGUGAGGUUAGAUGGUGCCUCAUUUUAUCACUCCACAUACAAUAAUCUUCACCAUCAAAAUAUGGUGGUUUGCCUAGCGGUAUGGAAAGUAGAGAAGCACGUUAAGGAAUGCGAGGGUAGCGAAGAGGCAUCUUACUAUACUUUUUACGCUCUUGGCGCUUUGAAGAUGUGGACUUCGCGCCAUAUGUGGAAGGUGAGGAAGAAUCAGUCUCGUAGUAGAUCGCCUUCUUCAUUUUCUUUUUCUUCUUGUCACCCUUCCUAUGUGACUUGAUGGACCCGAUAGAUUCUUCCUUGUGCUCCUUUUGCUUGUCGCCGGCCUCCUUCAAUGGAGUCCUUUCUUCGUUCUUCUUUCUCGAAGAUCCAGGAUUUUUGCCAGCCACCAUCUUCCUCUUGGCGUGUUCUCCCGACAUCACUUCGAGUUGUUAAACUCUAAUAAAGCACCGAGCUCCGAUACCA
rnacentral:lncRNA from 1 species